UGCACAAGGCCUUCCCCUUUCUUUCAAGUCUCUUCGGAAAAUUAAGCUCGUCCUUUUCCCACUCUGUUCUCUCAGGAUAUGUAUCCCUAUCAUAUAAUUGAAGAAAAGAGUUCUGCACUGGCCUCAGCCAUUGGAGACUGUUUGCAGUUACAAUUUUUCUCUAAACUGAUCUCAUGUAAGCAACCAAUAGGCUUUUUGUGUUUUAAAUAAUAAUAAUACUAAAAGUUCAAAUGGAUCAUGCCACAUGUCUUGCAGAGAGUAAAAGAAUCAGUCUUUGUUCUAAGAGAAAGACGAAUGAAGAUAAGUAUCUUUGCGUAUACCUUUAAUUUUCUUGUUUAUCCAGACCUCCAGCAACAUCCCAGCACCAAUACCACCAGCAAUACAUGCUCCAUAGAAGGCAAUAGCAGAAGGUAGGGACAUUCGAGGAAGAAAAUAACAAUCUGGAAUUUGUCUAAUCUUCUUAGGAAGCCGCUUCUUUAUAACUGGUUUAGCACCAGCACUGGGGUCCUUCUGCAACUCACUACCGAUUGCUUUCCAGUCAACCCCUUUCAAUGGGUCCUUUGACUCUUCAGUUCCCAUUAAUGAUUUGAUUACAAGCUCAGAUCUUUUGAAUCACAAAGAAUAUAAUCCUCUGAUGGAAAAGCAACCUAAUAGAAGAAAAGCCACAAACUAUUAUAGCAAGGGUAUCAAGGAGACGAGGCAUGGGUGCCUGUGUGCACACACACAGAAAUAAUUGGCAGCAUAUAUGCUCCAGAACAGCCAGUACACCCAAUUUGCUGGUUAAUGGAACAUUUUAAACUACCUGUAAGCUUAAUCCUAUGAAUCUUAAUUCAUGAUAAAUUUGUUAUUAGCCAACCCUGAGGUUGCCAACGAAACCCAAGAGAUGGCUGAAGAUUACGAACUUCAAAUGCUAAGAAAAAAAAAGAAGCAACAAUCUGAUAGGUCUUAACCAAGUCAUCAACUAAAUUCAUGCAUUACUACUGAACUAUAUCUUUUUAAAAUCAGUGUUACUAAGAUUGUACUGAAAGAAUAAAUUUCGGUAACAGCAAAGAACACAUGCUCAACCGCUCAGAGGUGUAUAUAUAUGUUGAACAUUUCAUGACCAAGUAGAAGCAGCAACUGGGUCAAAAAAAGGAAAAUAAUCUAAUUUGUUUAUCAUCCCCAAAUACAAUCAGGAUUUCCAAGAGUGUUUUCAGUAUUCACAGAAACAUGCAAUCACAAUCUGAAGCUUCUAAGAUUUUAAAUUAAAAAUAAAGUUAAUGAAAAGAACAAGGAAAGGUUUAGAAAACAAUCAGUGAAAUUACUUUGCAAUAGAUUGACAGGAGCAGGGCUCGCUAGCUUGGCAUCGAAAGACACAGAGAUUUGAAAAAUUGAAACUAGAGGAAAGAUUUAGAGGAAGAUAGGAUUGGUGUUUCUAAACUUGUUUUAGUUAAACAUAACUUCCUCUUCUUGGAUUAAAUGGGGCCUGAUCAAAGAAAUGACAUGAGAAAUCAAAUUCAUCCUUACCGAUGCACAGAAGAAAUCAGAUUCAUCCUUGAUAGAAAAGUAAUAUUUGACUAGCUUCCUUCUGUUACAAGUAUGUAACUUCUAUGAAUAAUAUCAAUUGCUAGUAAGGUGUUUAAGCAUGAUGAAUAAAAUGAUCCUUUUGUGAUCAGACAACAUGGAAUCUCAUUCAAAGAACCUGAAUUACUGUUGACAAUUUUUCAGUGACAGAGUAACAAUUGACAGAUACAAGAAAGCAUGUGCAGAUGCAUCAAACCAAGGAUCUAUUGCUGAAGCUAACACUCAGGCAAGUUCAAUAUAAUAAAUGAAGUAAAUUAAAUGGUCUUCAUUGAACAAAUGGCUCACUUUUUUUCAUUUUUUCCAUAAAAAAAAUUCUUACGAUACUUUUUCACCCUUUCUUGUAUACCACAUCCUUUAGGACCCUUUUCUGCAAAAUAUAUUGCAUUAUAGAGCUUAUAAACUAAGAACUGCUCCGAAAAGUUAAAUUAAACAGAAAAAAGGGAAAUUAAAGAAAAAUCAACCUUAAGAGCCUACAAGUCUAUGCGAACAAUAUCUUAAUAUUUUUACUCAACAUGUUCAUUGGAAACUAUGGUCAGAGGCUACUUGAUGAGACGGUCUUCUGUUUUUCUCUUUGUCUAUGAUUCAUUUCAUAUAUCCUUGAACUUACACAAGUACAAUCAGGAAAUAAGGGCAAAAGGAUUUUACAAGCAUCCUCGGUUUUUGCUGAUAGUAUUAGACUUCAAAUUUCAAAAUUAUAAGCAGAUUGAAACUUGAAAUGAGCCAUAUAUCUGAGAAUAUUAACCUGCCAAUUCACUGAAAUGAAUGCCUUAGUUACGGACUCCCACAAAGCAGUGGAGGAGAGUGGAUGCGAAACAGGGGCGAAGCACAAGGCAGUGGAGGAUGGCGGCGGCAGAAAGAAAAAGAAAACGCUUCUGCAAAAAAUAAAUCGCUGUGAGGAAGUGGGGUUUUGGCAGGAUCGCCUGGCGGAGGAAGGCGGAAGUGGAGCUAGGGUUUCUUUAGCGAGAGAGAGAGAGAGGUUGCGGCAGAUGUUAGUCAAAGGGAGAGUGGAAGAAAUGGAAAGAGAAAGCUUUUAAUAUAUUUUCACAAAAUAAUCGAAUGGCAUGCCCCUUUCGGAGAAUGGCAAUUGUAUUCCCCUUAUUCAUUAGUAUGCUUACCCUUGUUUGGUGGUAUAGCUGUUACCGGCCUCUCUCGAUAAUAGGUUUUCCAUAAGUUAAGAGAUAGACUGAAAAAGUUAUUGGUGAUGGUUCUGUGAAAUUAUCAUCAUAUUAUUAUAUAUAAGAUAAUGCUCACAGCUAUGUUACGAAAAAAAAAAAUUUAAUUUGAUAUUUUUAAAAUAAUUUGUAAAAAAAGUUAUAUUCUAUUAAUCAAUUAUAUGAAUGCAUGAUUUUUAUUGAUAGAGAAAAAGAUAAAUUAUUAUUAAUUGAAAAUAAUUAUUUAUUUUGAUUUUAAUUACUAAAAAUUGCUGCUAAAUAUAUGAUUUUAAAACAGUACUUAAUCAAAGACGAUAAUAAUCCUGUUAAACAUUCAGUAAUAUUUUUUAAUAAAAAUAUAUUAUUCAAACAAAAUAAAUAAUAUUUUGUUAGAUGAUGUAAUCAACAUGCAAGACUUGUAAUUAGCUAAAUGUUAAGGGAAUAUAAACUGUUAUAUAAUUGUCACAUAUGUCUAACUAUGGUGAUAGUUUGCUCUUCCUUUUGCCAUAUAUAUUUGUUUCUAUUUUUUUUGUUUUUGUUGUGCUAUAUUGUAUUACUGAGCAUGAAUGGAUGGUUCUUGCUAGUAGAGAAAAAGAUUAACUAGUAUUAAUCGAAGAUAAGUUUAUUUGCUGUGAUUUCAAUUAUCGGAAACCUGCAUCUAUAUAUAUAUAUACAUAUAUAGUUAUAAAAUAGUACUUAUCUAAAAAAGAUAAUAAUUCUAUCAAAGAUUAUUAGAUAUAUAAUAAAAUAUUAAGAAAUGAAAGAAUAUAUAACCUAUACUAUUUGUAAUUAAGAUAAACAAUUGUUGAAUAUAUGAUAAUAGUAUAAUGUAAAAAUCUUAUCAAUAUAAAAUAGUUACUAAUUUCUAAUAAUAUCUGUUUUUUAUAUAUAAAAUGAAUAGUUAAAGGUUAUCAAAUUCAAUUAAUUUGUUUAUUCAAUGAUGAUUGUAUGCUAUAUAUAUUGAGAAAUGAGUAGACUUAUUUUAUUUUUUUUUAUUUUGUUCAAUGAAUUGGAUGGAUAUUUAUUGAAAUUUAAACAUUCAUGUAUGAAAAAUAUAUCUAAAUACUAUAGAUUCAGGUUUAUGCAGAAUAAGAGAAGAUAAACAAAAAAAUAAUUAAAUUGCAAUUGAUAAAUAUUAAAUGAAUCUAUCCUCUAAACAUUAAAAGUUAUAAAUUAUUGUUUUCAAGUAUUUUUUGUUAAAAUAAAUAAAGAGUUUUUUUUUAAAUAGGCCUUACGCAUAACGUGUUUUUGACAAUAGACAUCCUCAUAAUUUUAACUUAGCCAAGAAAAUUAAAAUUUGGACAAAAUUACCCUUAAUGAAAUCGAUCCAUUUAUUUGACUCUGCGUUUCAACCCGAAACUUAUUAACGGGUCAAGUAUGUUUAGGUCUGCGCCUCAAACUGAUUCAUAUUUUUUGAGCUUUUCUCAUCAAACUAUUCAUCUCUGGAGUAUUCCUUACUAGAAAAAAAAAACAUUUAAACAUUUUGAGCAUUUUGGAGUAGUUUUUAAUACAUGAAAAAAACCUGUGAGCGUUUUGAGCAUUGUUAAGCAUUUUGGAGUGAUAUUUAAUAUAUGAAGAAAAACUUUUGAACAUUUUGAGCAUUUUAAGCAUUCAUAUUCGUUAAUUAUGUUGUUAAAUGGAAUAUGGUGUAUCGUUUGAAGUUGUUGAUCUUGUUAAAUGAAAUUCAGUAGUUUUAGUGAUUUUUGAGAAUUACAUGACUAGUUUUUAGGCAUUGCGUGACUGAUUUUGGAUAUUGCGUGACUAACUUUGGGUAUUACGUGACUAGUUGAUAGACAUUGCGUGACUGACUUUAGACAUUGCGUGGCUUGUUUAUGAUAAGGUAUUGUGUGACUAGUUUUUGAUAAGGCAUUGCGUGACUAGUUGAUAGGUAUUGUGUGAUUAGUUUUUGAUAAGAUAUUUGACUAGAAAGAGAAAUCGAGAUUUAAUUUUAAAAUUUUUGUCUGAAUGGCGGGAUAGAGGAAACUGAAAUCAUUUUAACUUGUUUGAAAUUGUUUAAAGGGUAUUGUUGUCAAGUCAUGUAAAAAAUUGACUAAAAAUAGUUAAAAUUAUAAAAAAUAAUAUUUUUGAAUUGAGCUUAUGAAGAAGGUUAUUUCUCACAAUUUUCUCAUAAAUAAAAAUAAAAAAACCCUUCAAAUGUAAAAAAUAACGUAAUUUUGGUACAAGUUGUACAAAAAAAAUUAAUUUAAUUGAAAAUGACAAGUGUCAACCAUUUGAUCCAAUCUAUUAUUCUACUUUUAUAUAUAUUAUAGAUGUUAAAACAUAAUGUUAACAUAUAAAAAUUUUCAUUUUUCACUUUUUCUUUAUCUCUCCACCUCGUUCACCUCUCACUAUUUUUCUCUCUAAAUUAUCAAUAAAAUAAAUUUUUAUUAUAAAUUAUUAAUAUUUUAAAAAUAAAAAUAGCUAAAAAAUAAAAUUAAAUAAUCAUAUUAAAUUUUAGAUCCUGUUAUUGAUCCUGGAGAUCCUUGGCUUAACUUUAGAUCUCCGAAGUAGAGAUGAACCCCACCCAAGGACUCUUCAUUUUCAUGUUACUCCCCAGCAAAACAGAACUGUUGUUCCUUGAAGGUUGCUGUUUGUAUAAAUGUUGAUGCGGCAACAACCCUCAGGCUCGCCUGCCCAUGCCACCACGUAUUAACCAAAUUCACCGUACAUAAUUUCAUAUUAUUGUUAUAGUAUAAAUUCACCGAUUGAAUUGAUAUCACGUUCAUGACAUCAAAUUGAAUUACUAUGGCUUGAUUAGUUGAAUUCAUAACACCAACUGACUUUUGACUGAUGGUAUAAAUUUUAAUAAAAAAUGAAAAGCUUAAGGUGUUUCCUAGUUUUACUAGUACAUUUUCUGUUAUGCUGUUGUAAGGUAAAUUUACUUUGCACAUAACAGAUCAUUACUACAAGUCUAACCACGGAAUACAAACACCUUGCGCCACUAUGAUCAGGUAAUGUUGGGAGUCUUGCACGAGAAAAGAGAAACAACCACAAGCAAAAAAUUGGAUUACUCAAUGAACAGGGGAGACAAGAAAGUUCUCAAGGAAGGAUGCCAGCUCCUCUCUGCCCUAGAAUAUUCUCUUCUCUUGUUACAGUUUUGUCAUAUAAAAAAUUGUAUCAAGAAAUUUGGAAUACAGCAUCCCCACUCUUCCUGCCUGUGAAUUGUGAAAGCUUAGUAAUCUAGGCCGCCCAUGCCACCUGGGGCUGCUGGGCCUGCCUUCUCAUCGUUGGGAAGUUCGGUAACAAUUGCUUCAGUUGUGGUCAUCAAAGACGACACACUGCAUUGCACAAAGUCAUAAUUAAGCAGUGGCAAUUUUUGGGGUUGCUCAAAGAAAUAAUACUAUUUUUACAAUGGGGAGAUUGUACUUAGAUAAUAGACUUCCAUGAUUUUUUACCUUGCAGCAUCUACCAAGGCUGUCCUUAUGACUUUCAAUGGAUCAAUGAUUCCCGCUUUUACCAUGUCUACGUACUCACCUGGCACAAGCACAAAGGGAAAAACACUCAGAAUUUCAGGUCACAAAAUCAUCUCUAAACCAGAUAUCUUUCUAAUAUGUUUUUGCAGAAAACAAAAAUAAACCUUUAGCUGCAUCAUAUCCAAGGUCAGGAUUAUCCUGUUCCAGUAGCUUGCCAACAAUCACUGCCCCCUCUACUCCAGCAUUGGAAGCAAUUGUGUGUACAGGCAUCUGUAGAAAUGACAUUGAAAUUAUGAAGUAAGCAAUCUCUCUAGAGCACACACUAGGCACUUGUCAUAAACUAUACUCAGUCAAUAAAGCUCAAGAUUAAUUUGGGUCCUUAUGAAGCAUACACUAGAAAAGGAUCAUAAACAGCAUUACUCAGUUCUUAAACCCGAAAUUUAUCUCUGUAUAUGUCAUGUUCACUGUUCUGAAAAUAAAGAUUUUGUAGAGAACAUUCCAUUGAAGACAAAGAUAGAAGUAUAAUGAGUUGGAACCAUAAGAGCAUUCUGGAUGAUCUGAACACCAAUCUUCUGAUCAAAGUUUGCAGUGUGUAGGUUUUCAAGCUCCUUUGAGGCAUAAAGAAGUGCAACACCACCACCUGUAAAUAGGAGACUUUUGAUAUUCUAAAGCAACAUAAACCAACAAAAUCAACCAAUUGCAAUGCCAAUUUAAAUGCUUACCAGGAACAAUUCCUUCCUCCACAGCAGCUUUUGUCGCAUUUAGGGCAUCAGUAACUCUAUCCUUCUUUUCACCAACUUCUGCUUCACUUGCUCCUCCAAUCUAAAAAACAAACUUCCAUCAGUGCAUCAUUUGAAGAGGACAGUUUAAGGGCAACAAUUAAAUUGUUGUAAGAUAUUCCAUGGUUUAUUCGCAUUCACCCAUAGUGACAAAAUUUGACAAAUUCUCAUCUUGCUAGAGUAACUAACCUUCAAAACUGCAACACCACCAGAAAGCUUUGCAAGCCGCUCUUGUAACUUGUCCUUAUCAUAAUCAGAAGUGCUUGAUUCCAUUGCAGAUCUUAUCUGCAUUAAUAAUUAUAAAUCAUUGUUUGAAUACUGCAAUAUAAACAAGCCUGAUAGUUAUGAAAGAUAUGUCAAAACAGCAAUAUAACUAACUUGGGCCUUUCAAAAAAAGAAAAAAAACUAACUUGGUCGCAUCUUUCUUCAAUGGCAGCCUUGUCUCCAGCCCCAUCAAGGAUAAUUGUGUCAUCCUUUGAUACUGUAACCUAAACUUGCAGCCCACAGAAGUCAGCCACAAAGUCACAACCAGACUAACAAGUAAUAAAAUACAAACAAAAAAACCUACACUUGUCAACCUAACUAGAGAAGUAGAGAACGAUAAGCAGAUUAUCUCUUCAAACUGUUGUAGCCUGAAAACAUAUUACUAUUCUAUCAAGAAAGAUAUUAUUGACUAACCUACCUUUUUGCAAGAGCCAAGCACUUCUGCUCCCACCUUUUCGAUAUUAAGACCAAGUUCUUCAGUCACUACCUAUAAAGAGAACAGUGUGAGGAAUAUGGUGGUUAAUGCUUCAAAUAAUAAUGCAAAGUCUUAAGUUGAGAGAGAGAGAGAGAGAGAGAGAGAGAGAGAGACUACCUCGCCUCCAGUGAGAGCAGCAAGGUCCUGCAAACCAGCUUUCCUAUUUUCUCCAAACCCUGGGGCUUUAAUGGCACACACCUUAAAACCAACCACAAUUAGAAAAGUAAGAGCCCAACCUUGACAGCAAGAGCCUGCAUACUAGCCACAGUUUUCCGUGGAAAAGAAUAAAAUACCUUGAUUCCAACACGAAGCUUGUUCAGAAUGAGAGUUGCAAGUGCUUCACUUUCAAGAUCUUCAGCAACGAUUAGUAAAGGCCUUUGCUUCUGUAAACACACAACCAUAUUGGUCUAUCAAUGUGAUAACAUGGCAUAAAAUUAGCAGUUUUCCUCAGAUAGAGCCACUCACUGACAAGGACAAUUCCAAAAAUUUAACCAAAGCAGGCAAGUUUGAGAUCUUCUUCUCAUGGAUCAAAAUGAGUGGGUUUUCUAAUUCCUGGCAAAAUUAAAGCAAUUGUUUGUCACAUUACGAUGAUGUUUAUAGGGAAAAAAAAGGAGGCAAUGCCCCAUCAUUUCCUAGCAACAUAGUGCUAAGGAACCAACAAAUAUUAUGCUAAAAUAUACUUACACAUUUUUGGUUCUUCUGGUUGGUGAUAAAGUAAGGGGAUAUGUAGCCCCUGUCAAGCUUCAUUCCCUCAACAACCUCCAAUUCAUUGCACAAGGUUUUUCCAUCCUGAAAAAAAUUGAAGGGAGACACAGAAUUCAUAAAUGUUGAAGAACUCAAACCCAACCAGACAGAAAAUGCCACUGUAAAUAGAGAACAUGACUCAACUGGAACAGAUAUAGAAAAGGAACGAAGAUUCCAAGAAACAAUUUUAGUGAUAAAAGAUUUGAAGAAAUAGAAAUGGGAUAAACAGAAGAACCCAAGAAAUGACUUACAGCAAUGGUAAUAACACCCUCUUUGCCAACUUUCUCCAUAGCCUUGGCAAUUAGCUCACCAAUCUCCCUCUCUCCAUUUGCAGAUAUAGUUCCAACCUUCAGAGCAAAGAAUAAACAAUGAAAAAUACAACUCCUUAUCAAGUCAUAAUGGUCCUUCUCUAAGCUUCAGCCUUUCAGUCUUAGAACAAAUGCUAUUUUUGUUGAAGCAAACCUGAGCAAUUUCCUCAGAUGUGCUAAUCAUCCGUGCUCUGCUCUUCAAGUUUGUCACCACUGCAUCAACUGCCAUUGUAAUUCCUCGCCUGAGGUCCAUGGCAUUCAUUCCAGCUGCCACUGACUUGCAUCCUUCAACAAAUAUUGCACGGGUGAGGACUGUCGCACAAGUGGUGCCUGCAAACAAGACAAGUUUUGCAUCAGUAAACGCUUCCAUCUCAUCAAGAUUUAUCAUUACAGAUUGUCACAUAUGUUACCACCAUCUUCUCUGGUGUCAUCUAACAAUAACAGACAAUGAAAUAAAGUCUUUUCACACAACGUAGGGUUGGAUAGAUAGAUCAUGUAGCAGCACUGUACUUUAUUCUAGAUCAUAACCUUAGUAAAUUCAGUAAAUGUGAGGUGUUUUUCCAAGGUUUCCCUCCAUGACAUUAGGAAAAGAAAAACAUAAAUAUUAACAAACAUGAUUUACUACAUGAGUAGUACGCUAGUGUAACAUAUGAACCCUCACCAUCCCCAGCAACAUCAUUGGUGGCACUUGCAACCUGCUUUACUAGGGAAGCACCAAUAUUUUUUACUCUGUCUUUAAAUUCAAUGCUCUUGGCUACAGUAACACCAUCUUUUGUCACCUUCGGGGCCCCAAAACUUUGUUCCAAAACAACAUUACGCCCCUAGGCAAAAGUCAACCAAAAAAAGCAACAAACUUUAGUCAGUUACUGCCACAUACCAGACUCUGUAUAAUCAGUAACUCGAAACAGGAAGAAAUGAGAAGAUAGCUAAAUAAUCUAUAGCCCGUUAAUAAGGGCGAGUUAAAAGACAAAUCUUAAACCGAAUGAAGCUUGAAACGUGAAACCCAAAACACAAAUUUUCACAUUAAUUUUGAGAAGAACGGAUUUAAUUUUCCAAAACAGCAAAAGCAAAUGCCUAUCUAAGUGAAUUUCAAGUAACACAAAAUUUGAAAAGAAAAGUUUUAAGUUUUCACCACCCAAAAUGCAUAUUGAAAGAACAUCGCAUUUGCUCCAUGAUUAAUAUUGUGUGUGCGUGUGUGUGUGUGUAUUAUACAUAUUUGCCAUAAUCUAUUACAAACAAAGAAGAAAAUGCAAUAUGAAUGAAGGACUGACUUUUGGACCCAUGGUCACUUUAACAGCAUCGGCCAGCUCUUCAACUCCCCUAAGCAUCAAGGCGCGUGCUUCUACACCAAAUUUAAUGUCUUUAGCCGCAUAGUUUCGACUCCAACUCAAUCUACUACCAAUCUGUAAUAAAACAAAUAUCCUUAUCAAAUUCCUACACCCUUCCAAACACUAAGUUGUAUAAGAAGAAAAAAAAGACAGAGCAAGAGAUUCAUAGUAAAAAAAAAAUGAAAGAAUAGAAUCUUACCAAUUGGGUGUUGUUCUUAGCCAACCUACAAGUUAAAAUGGCGCAAAGUUGAUUAGAAUUUGAAAAGAAUGAAAAGAAAAGAGAGAGAGUGGGGGGUGGGGGUGUUUACCUAGCUUUAGAGGCAAGGGAAGUGGCAAAGCGGUACAUGGUGGCGGAGCGCGGUGGCAAAGCAGCGGACAACGUUUUAGAGUUUAAGAGAGGUCUUAGAGAGCGAGAGAAAGAGAGAGCAUAAAUGAAGGGAGGACAGAAGAAUCCAGAAGAAAUGUGCCUGACCUUUAAUAAGGGUUUAGGGUUUUAGUGUGCUUCAGCCGUCAAGGAAGCCAUCCGAAGGAAACGUUAUAAAACGAGUAAAUUUAUUCCUUGCAGUAACAAAAAUAUAAUACGAUGUUCAUCCGAAUAAGAAUGCAAAGAAAUUGGUAAAGAUUUUAAAUUCAAAGGAUAUAAAAUAUAACUUUUGCCUUUGUGGUGAAGUUUGAACUAUUAAACUAGUAUCUUGUCUUUGUCACCUAAAAAUAACUGGGAAAAGAAUCACCAAGUUACAUAUACACAGAAUCACUUAAAAGAUUUGAAAAUCCACCCUCCUUUCAUUCAAUUUUCAGACACAAACUCUUUUCUAAAAAUAUAUAUAGAUAUAUAUUAUAACAUAUAUAUAUAUAUAUAUAUUAUAUAUAUAUAUAUUUGACUUGGACAGAAGGAAUAAAGUUCAAGGCUAGGCACAUGUAAAUACUACUUGUGAAAUUCUGUCAUUGCUCAAAUACGUCUUUGUAGAUCCUCGUUAUGUUAAUUAUAUAAGCAUUUAUUGAAUUCACUAUUUCAUUAGAAGGUGUAACAAUCGUUCUUUGCUUUGUAAAGCAUAUGAAAGAUCUGCAUAAUACUUGUCGUAAACUGUCAAGACAAUACCUGUUGUUGGAUCAUCUACUAAUAGGAGUAACAAAUCAUGCGGUAAUUCAAUCCAAUUUGAAUCAUCCUCAUUUUCAUGGAUUAUUGUUUGAAUAUUUCUGCCGCUUAUAUCUAAUAACCAUUAUGCAAGAUGCUUGAAUUCCCUCCCUUGUUUCUUCAUCAAGAUUGUCUCUUUGCAAUCUCAUAUUUGUUUUUGAUCGGAGUAACUUGUAUUGGUCCCACAAUAGUGAUUGGUUUAUCAUAGCAUUCACGGUGUCUGUUUUUCUUCCACUUUUAGCAGCAGGUAAUAUUUAUCUAAAAUCUUUUUAUGAUAAAAUUAUUUUUCCUCCAAAAGGAUUUAAAGUACUUUUAAUGGAAUCACUAUCAUCUUUUUACAGCAAGUUUGGUUUGCGGAAUAGAUAGGAAUGAAAUAGAAUAGAAUAGUUAUUAUAUAGUUUGGUAUGAUCAAUGGAAUAGAGUAAAAAUAGUUAUUAUGAUUUAUUGCAGUUUUUGAUUAGUAAAAAUAACUUUGGAAUAAAAAAAAAAUAGAAGAUAACAAAAUAAAAAAACUCUUUAUUAUAUAUAUUAUUUAUUUUUAAUUUUAUUUUAGUUUUUAGAUAUUACUAUUUUAUUUGUAAUUUAAUUAUUAAUAUUUUAUUUACAAUUUAAAUAUAAUUAUGAUUAAAAUUUUAAUACUUUUAAUUAAUUUUUAAAUUCAAAAUAUUUUGUAAUAUAUACUUGUAAACUUAAACUCUUCAUUAUAAUGAGAUUUAUUUUCAUCAAAAACAAAACUACUCUUUAUAUAAUUUAAUAAAAUUAUACCAAAAGACAAAAUUAAGUAAAAUUUUUCUUUUGUAAUCAUUUAAUUUUUAUUUUUAUUAAAAAUUUAAAGUUUUAAUAAUGUAAUAAUUUAUUAUUAAGUAUUAGUAUUUUUAUUUUUUAUCUUUUUCUCUAUUUGUAUUUUUUAUUUUUUAAUUUAUAUUUUCACUUAAUAAUUUUAGAAUUAAUAUUUUAUUUAUACUUUAAAUAUUAAAAUAUUACUAUUUUUUAAUUUUUUUAAUUUAAAACAAUAAUUUUAUAAGUUUAGGUUUGUAAUUUUUAAAAGUAAUUAAGGACAUUUUAGUUCAAAAUGUUUUGAGCUCUAUUUCCAUGGGAGUGGAAUAACUAAUACUAUGGGGAGGGGUGGUACUAGUUGUUCCAAGAUUUUGCAAAAUUUUAAAGAGUGGUCGUUCCCUUCCUCCAAAGACAAACCAAACAUAGGGAGAAAAUUUUUUGGGGGAAAAAACCAUUCUCCCAACCAAACAUGUCAUUAAAGUUUUAUCUAAAGUUUCAAACUGAUGUCUAUGAACUAUAAGAGCUUCAUCUCAUACUAUCAAGCUAUAUGCUUGAACAAAUAUGGCAAGUUAAGUUUUUUUUUUUUAAUUUGACUUAUAGAACAUUCAUUAAUUGUUAAAGGGAUUUUGAGCCUUGAGUGAAUUGUUCUGCCACCUAGUAAGAGUAAAAAUGCAAUGCUUGAAAAAAGUGCUAGAACAAUUUUACCUAUAGAUGGAUUCCAGAAAUAAUAGUAUUCCAUAAAUAUGUUUUGUUUGUACCCCUAUGUUCAUAAACAAAUAUCAUUUCUCCUUUGUCAUUUUCAACUGAUUGUUUAAUACAUUGAUUAAUAUUCAUUUUUUUAGUUUUGAUACUAACUACAAAUGUAAUUCUUGAAGUUGAAUUAAAUUGUAGUUCAUCUCUUCAUAUGUAACUUUAGUUUCUUGUAAAUUUAAACUUGGUUAACUUGGCAUUGGCAAUUUAAAUUCGGAAAAAGGGGUACAAUUCUUGUUGAAUAUAUCUUCCAAAGCAAUCAAUACAUAAAUUUUUGAAUGAUCUUUCAAAAUUGAGUAUUGCAAAAAUGCAAAUGCACACUUUAAUCUAUAGUUAAUAUCAUUUGCAAACAAACGCUAAUUAUUUUCCCAAAGUGCUAGCAGAUCUAUUAUCUCACAAAACAUUAUAAUAGGUAUAAAAAGUUGCCUUAGUUGUUAGCUUGAAGCCCAUUGUGUAGCUUGAGCUAGUGCAUCAUUCCAUUCUUGGUCAUCACCUAACAAACCUAACGCUUUACAUAUUGCUUGAUAAGUAGGAUGCAUAAUACCAUUGAUUGUUCUAAUUUGUUCAUAGCUAGUGACUUCGUUGACUACAUUCAAUACCAUAAACAUAAAAUUUAAUUCACCUAACUUCAGGUGUACAUAAUUUAUUCUACCAAUGACCUUUUUUGUUGUCUUCUCUUCUAUUUCAUCUCUUACUUAUACCAAACAAAUUUUAUUGGGAAAUCAGCAUAGAAAAGGUGUUUAGCAUUUUUAUUAGUUACCAUCCAUUUUAUAAACACGGCUUUCCUUACAUCUGGUCUAUGAAUUAUUCUAUCUAAUCUCUCAUUAUCAUUAGAGUAAACAUUUUGUCGAUUCGGUAAAUGAAUUAUUGAUUUUUAAAUUGCAAGUUCUCAAUAAUGUAUUCUAAAUCCAAAAAGUCUCCAACAUGAUUCAUAAGUUGAAAAAUAUCUACAAUUUAAAUACGUUUUAAUUUCAUCUGUCUCAAUACUCCUUUGUUACUGGUCUUGAUUAGAAGACAAGUCAACAUUUUUUAAUAUAGCUUGUGCUCUAUCUUGUCACGACCCAAAUUUCGGGCCAUGACCGGUGCAUGGGCCUAAUGGACGUAGUCCACUAAGCCCAAGCAAGCAUAUUUGUCACGACCCAGAACCUCCCUCAGGCCCAUGACAAUCGUCGCGACGUCCCGAUUGACACUCAUUAUCCGAAAUGCCAACCGGAACCCCGCAAGGCUUACAUAUUAGUUUUUUUUCCUUUCUUGUGAGCAAUCGUUGUUAAAUAUCGAGUUUUUAGAGAAUAUACACUAUUUUAGAUCAAAAACAAUCAAAAUAAAAUUUUCGCCACACAGGGGUAUUUUGGUCUUUUUUUUUCUCAAAAUUUUCAAAAUUGGCUAAAACAUAAUAUACAAGUACAAAAUACAUAAUUCAUAUUCAAAAUGAGUUUAAAAGUCUAAAAUCUUCAUUUAAAAUGAAAUUACGGUUAUUUGAAUAUAAUAAGAAAAUAAAAGAAAUAUUAAGGGAAAUAUUCUAUUUUCUUAUAAAACAAUAUUUAUAGAGUUAUACGUGAAUAAUUUUUAUAGCGUAAAAGCUAAAUAAAUUUAUACAUACUGAAAUACAGUAAGCCAAAAUAUUUAAUUUAAUUUACAAUAACAAGAGGGCCCCCGAAUAAACAAAAGUAAAGAGGACUGUGAACCUACGGUUUGGAAAAUGCAGAUCCAAUGGUAGUCCUCGAUGAGAUCAGCUAUCUACAGUCUAUACUGAACCUGAAAUGGGUGGAAAGGAGGUGGGUGAGAUUUUGCAAUCCCAAUGAGUAAACAGACAUUAUCAUAAAUAUCUAAAGGCGAGUAAAAUGGAGGCAAGUUUAAACAACAAAUUUCAACCCAUUUCAUAAUGUUUUCAAUUUAUUUCUUAAACCAUAAAAUAUUUGUAAUUUACCAAAACAGUUGUUAAGGCUUAUGUCUUUUAUUAAAACAAGGCUCAAGCCAAAACUAAUCCUCGGGGAUACCUUGGCCGAGGCAUCUAACCGAGUCCGCCAAGGGUGUUAAAAUAUUCACACGUGAAACACAUUUUUAUUUUUAAAACCAGCCGUUCCUUGGCGUUGGCCGAGUUACACAUUCACGUGGGGGUUCGACGUGAAGUGAGCUCUAAUACUACCCCGGGAGUUACCCUCCUCGCCUCUACAACCGGAGUAACUAUAUAACUGGGUUUACCGUGCCCCUCUAAUAGGCAGUCCACGGAAACCCGUCACUGCAGUGACUAACCCACCAAUUUUAAUAAAAUUUCGACAGUAUAACGUGGCUUUUAUUUAUUUAUCCAGCCUGCAUAGUAAAACCAACUUACAUAAAUUUCCCAAAUGCACUCACAAAAUAUAGCCACAUAUACUCAUUUCUCAUAAGCCAUUCCUAGGAAAAUAUAUAUUUUUCAAGUCAAUUUGCAGCCUCCAAUUACUCAAUUUCAUAAUCAAUACAAUAUAUUUUUAUUUAUCACAUUUAUUCCUAAAACAUCAAAAAUCCCGUUUUAAUCUCGUUCUCAUUUCAUAAAAUACAUAAAGGGCAUUUAAAAUAAACUCUAGAUAAUUUACAAUAAUAAUAAGUUUACUCACCGUUUGUACAAACUAAAAGCUUUCUAAGCGCCCCGAUCACUACUCGUCGGGUACGACUUCUUUGCCUUUUCCGGAAGGCUCUCCUCCUAGACACAUUACAAAAAUUUACACAAUUCAUCACAUUGAUGCUAAAUCACUAUAUAAUUAACUUAAAUCCUAUACUAAUGCAUGGUAUGAAAUGCAAUAGCCUAAAACGGCUUAAACGCGGUAUUAACCUAUUUUUGGCACUUUGCCCGAUAAAUUGCUAACGCGCUCCAUUUUAGCUCUAAAUCAUCCCAUUCUCUCUCCAACAUUUCUAACCAUUAAAUAUCAGCCAAUAACCUUCUAAAAACAACAAAAUCAGCUCACUCCCUUCCUUGGAAAAUUCGGCCAAAAAUGGGACAUUAACUCGGUUAAUUUUCUACUUUGUUUUUCUAUCACGUUUAAUCGUUUUUCAUCAUUUUCUCUUCAUUUCCCUUAGAAUAAAAUCAAUUCAUCAUCAUUGUACAGCAUUGAGCAUCCAGCCAAGAGUGGGUAUUGUGAAAAUUUAAUGAUUUCUUGCCCAAUUUAAUUUCUAAACACAUUUAACUAACUAAAACUAUCAAUUUAACUAAAAAUCAAAACCUAAAAAUUUCAAUUUCUCUCCCCUAGAAUUUCGUCCAGCCCUUGAUAUCACUUUUUGAUCUCUCUCCUCAAGCAUGCUAAAUGGAAAUAAAGGCAUAGGAAAGGUAGAAAUCAAGCUAAAAUCGAAAAAUCUUACCGUUAGACGCGUAAACGGUCGAAAACCGCGAAUUUCCCUUUGAAUUUUCUUGUUUCUCUUUGGUUUUUCUUUUUUUCUUCCUUUCCUCUCUAUUUCCUCUCUUGUUCUUCCUUAUGGCCGGCCAGCACUUAAAAUGGGGUUUAAAUGGGCUGACUUUUCAUUAAAAUAAUAUUAUUCCAUUAAAAAAAAUACCACGUGUCACUUUCCCAUUGGCCCAUUUUUAAAAUUUCAUCCAUUUGUUUUCAAAUUUUCACCAGACACUUCUCCCACAUAUCCAUAGCUUAGAUAAAAUUCUCAGACUUAUCCAAAGUCUCGGUGGAGUAAUUUUUGAAAUUUACACUUUUACCCCCGUCAAAGUGAAAAAUUACAUUUUUACCCAAAAAACUGAAAAAUUGCCCAUAGACAUAUUUUUCAUCCCUUAUACUCAUACCAUUCUCCAAUUUGUCAAAUUUGAUCUAAAUUCUCUCAAAAUCUCAAAUUUUAUCCGCGAGUGGUAAAAUUACGAUUUUACCCCUACACUCUAGAAAUCACCAAAAUUAAACUUUUUCACUUCCUAUCAUUAAAUUAUACUCCAGAUAGUUAAUCUUGAUCAAAAUUUCACUCCAUGAUCAAAUUAUUAUCUUAGGUGGCAAAAUGACGAUUUUGCCCCUAAACCUCUAAAUUUCUAAUUUUACCCCAAAUGAACCCUCGAACUCCGAACAAUCAUUUUUUAGUCAUUUCUUGACUAUAAAAUAUUAAAUUUCAUCCUACAAUUCCUAUUUGAACUAGUUCGAGGUUAAAUCAACUCAAGUAUACCAUUAGGUACAAUACCAAGUUUCGUCUAUUCUUAGGUGCUUUUCCUAGCAUAAUAACAUACUAUUCAGUGCAUGUAUGUCAUGACAUGUGUUUAUAGAGUCAGGUUUUACAAUAUUAAUAUGACCUGUUCAUCAUUCCAUCAAAAGUUGCUAAGUCACAUUUCAUAACUUCAAAUCAAAUUAAUACUAAGCAUUGUCAACUUGUAGUGGCAUUACCAAUCAAAUAUACAUGUAUUAUUUAAAACAUAUGUCUUAAUAAUUUACAUGGGGUUUGUCUAUACAAAACAAAAGAGUACUCGACUUCUAGUGGAGAAACUCGGGCGAAAGUACAGCUACUGAAUGCUGAGACACCUACCAAGAGUCGAAUCUACGAGGACACCUUGACCUAGUUACCGAUUACCUCCUGAUCUGAAAAUAUGAAGUUGAAAACGGUGAGUAUAAACCCAGUGAGUGAACAAAGGAAGAGAACAAGCAAACAAUAAGGAAGACUUAAAGAAAUCAUGAUGCAUUUAUCUUUAAAACAAUGCAAUUUAGUUUAGUUCUUAUUAAAACCUCUAAUGUAAGCCCCAAAUGAGUAAAUCACUUGAUGAAAAGGGUCCAUGCACAACAAAGGUUUUGAAAAGUGAAAACUUUAAUAGCAUUCAGGCAAUUCAUGUAACGACCCCUCGUUGGUAGCUACCGACGUUUGAGACCUCUGGGAGAUCCCGCCAAGUCCCGAACAAGCCUUAAAGAAAUUUCUCAAUAACUCAUUGUAUAUUUUUACUAAACCGUAUUCAUGUUUAAACCAUAAAUAUUUAAAACAUGAAUUCAACAAUAACCAUAUCCAUUAAAUUUUGACUUUAAAUCAUGAGAGCACAAUUAAAUACAUUCAGUUCAAAAAUCUCAAAUUUCCCAUUUAUAUCAAAACUAAUAUUUGUUUACAUAAUAAAACCAGAGUACUACAACUUAACCUCUAAUAGCGGAGCGACUUGGGAUAAAAUGCUAUGAGAUGCCUUUACCUAUCUGCGGUGGAUCAUAUGUGCCAAUGAUUACACACUAGGCCGAUUCCUGUCUGUAAAAGGAGAAAUAAGAGGGGUUUAAGUCUCACAGACUCAGUGAUCAUCGGCUCCGUGAGUAGGGCGUAAAUGAGAAACAAGCAAUAAGGUUGAGAUUUUGAAUAAUAAAACUUGCAAGAGUAGAUAAAACUAUUUAAUUCAAACGGAGAUUUGUGCCUUAUAUGUAUAAAAGAAAAUAUCGAGAAUCUCUUGUAAGUCAUAAUAAAUCAUAAGUAUGUCAAAUCAAUUAAGUAAACUUUUGUGCAGCGAAAAGGAUAACAACCAUUUUCAAACUAAAUCAGUAAAAUAUCAUUUUAAACCUCGUGUUCGUAAGAAAAUCUCUACAAUCAAAAUUAUCUCAUAUAAUACUCAAAUUAAAUCAAUAAAGAUGGGCAAGCUCCCGCGAAACCAAAUAGUAACCAGGUUUAUACACAGUUCACAAAUUGCCUCGCAUGCGAGGGUAAAAUUCAUAUAACAAUAAAACUAAGAGGAGCUACAGGAAACCGUAUAAUUUCAUUUUCACCAUACAAGAAAUAAGAGUCUGAAAACCCAAAGAGAUUUUUGUCUCGAGUAGGAAAUCAAAUAAAAUUCGUGGUCCCGCUACCACGUAAUAACCUCCGGGAGCCUCGCUUCACCAGAUCCCACAUGCCAUGGCAAUCUCAAUGAUGUUGGCCGACAUUAGAGAUAUCAAGCGGUCGCAACUGCGUAAUCAUCUGGUGGCCUAGCCACGCAUACAUAUAUCAUAGGCCGUGGCACCAACCACGCCUAAUCGCCCGUCGGUGACCCAAUGGUUCUCUAGCUAGAGCUCAUUCGUGCACAAGGGUCACACUUAAUCGAAGUGACAGCUAGCCUACUCUCGAAUCUCUCGGUUUAUAAAAUCAUUUUAGAAAUCACUUUAUGUCCUUGAAAUCUCGUUUCAAAAUUAUUUCCAAAGCAUUCAACAUAGGGUAUGAUAAAAUCUAUCAUUUUCUCAAAAUAUAUUUAUGCAUGAAUUUCAAAACAAUAAUUCGCAUGGUGAAUAAGCAAUAUAACCAUGAACGCACACUGCACAAAUAUAAGGCACAGAUUUUGAAGCAAAACAGUGCGAAGGGCUUGUUUUUCGAUUUUUAAAACACUUUACAUAUAAUUUAUACAUAUAUAUUCAAAACAAUUUUUGAACAUAAUUUGCAUUCACAAUUCCUUAAAAUUUCUACCAACACAUGCUAUCCACAAUUUUACAUCUAAAAUAAAAUAUACGUACAUUUACACUAUUAUGGAAAUUUUAAAAUUGAACCGCUUACUCACCUAGUAAUAGUGGGAUAUUACAUCGCUAUUUCUACUUGCUGGCCACUUGUUACUUCCUCCAGCACACCACUAUAGUGCACUAUCUUUAUUUUAACACUUUCAAAUUGGGCUAGGUUGGCCCAAGUUUCCACCUUUAUUUUCUUUUUUGGACUUUUUAUUCCUUAUUGCCGUUGGGCCCUUCUCAUGAGCUAUUUCCACUUCUCCUUCAUUGGGCUAUGCCCACUAUUUAUUUAUUUAUUUAUUUUUCGUUUAUUUCUCUCUCUUCUGCUCCUAUUCUUUCUAUUUUUUUUCUUUUGUAGCCGAUUGACCUUUUCCUCCUCCUCACUUGCACUACCAGAUUGGCCUUAUCUCAUUCAAAAUUAACUUCAUAACCUCUCCUACCUCCCUCAAAAAUCGACAGCACAAAGCCCCCUUUAUCCUUCACAAUUCGGCAGCAAACAGCCUCCAUUUUUCCUGCACAAAUCAACAGCAACACAGCCUCUCUUUCUCACCCUCUUAUUGCCAUUUUUCUGCUCUCUCACCAGCACUCUUUCUCCCUUUUCUUUGCCUCAUACACGGCACUCUCCAACUGCCAUUUUCUGCUCUCUCACCAGCACUCUUUCUCUCUUUUUCUUGGUCCUUCUUCUGCCGACCUUAUCCCUUUUUUUUGCUCUUGAAAUAUUGGUCCUUCUUGGGAGGAGAAAGACCACAAUUCUAUUUGAUGUUAAUUUCACAUGUGGGGGACAAGUUGGACAAGUCAAUGUACUUGUCAACUAUUUCUUUUUUUCUUCCUUUAUGGCUUUACAUUCAGCCGACCCUUACCAUCAUUUCUUUUUCUUCUCUUUGUCUUGGCCGGCUUAAUCCUUUAUUCUUUCAUUUUUUUUAUUUGUUGACUUUUCUUGCACUUUCCUUCAAGUAUUGAUCACAUGGCCAUUUAUCCUCAUUUUCCUGUUCAUUUCUUCUUCUUUAUCUUCCUCAUUUAUUUAUUCUUUUACCUUUUACACCAUUUUUACUCUAUGUUUUAUUUAUUAUUUCAUGAUUUCAUCCAAACCACAUUCACCCCAUUUUAUUCUUUCAACAUUUUAUCACCAUUGCCUCAAUCAAAGUUCAUACAACUAGUUUUAAUUUUUAUUCUUUAUUCACCAUAACUUUCAUCUUUAUAAUUUGGUCCUUUCAAUAUUUAUUAAAUUUCAAUUUCUUUCUAUCUUUCUUCCUUCAUGCGUAUCCAAUAAAAAUGUCGAAGUUGUACUUCAACGCGGUAUUACCAUAAUAUUUAAAUAUUUACUUACUGUGCUAAUUCGAUUUAAUAAAAUUAUGCAGUACGAUUACCGUCGUUGUUCUCCAAAAUUCUUCCUUACUUCUUCUCCCCCACUUAAAUUAGUCAUAUUCCCUUCUUUGGACUAAUUUUCAUAAUUAUUAAAAUAUUAAUAUUUUAAUAUUUUUUUUUCAUAACUAAUAUUUUAUUCUAAAAUAUUUUUUUCGCCCGUAACCACUCUUCGACACUUAAAUUUGCAUCAAGUGACCCUUCGUUUUAUCGAUAAGGUUUUGUUGACUGCUAAACGAGGGUACGGGGUGUUACAAUCUCCCCCACUUAAAUAGAAUUCGUCUUCGAAUUCAAUUCAACGUACUGUGACUAAUCAAAAUUCUAAAAUUCUUCUACAUCACUUUCGUCGGAUAUUCUCAAUAUAAGAUCUCGGUCUUAUGAAUGUUAUCAAUUUCCAAUCUUUAUAGAAAGCUCGACAAUGUCAUAAUACAUUUACUUAUAAGUAGCACACUGCUUGAAUUAAAUCGAUAUUAUUCUUCAUCUUGUAAAGGGAAAUUAAAUAUAUCAUUAAUCCCAGUCACACCUCAAUCAAAUCAUUCUUAAAUCAUCGAUUAUGCAUGUUUACAUAACCAUCCACAAUUCCUCUACCUUGAUCUUUUAUCAAGCCUUCUAACAUUCAAGCAUUACAUAGCACGUAAAGAUCAAACACACUUUAUUCACUGCCUAUAUAUAUUCAACAUCAUGGGUGAUUCAAAUCUGGUAACUAUUAGUGACCAUAUUCCCAAAAACAAAAAUCCAAUACUUUCAUGAUCGAGUGCUCACUAGAUAAUUUCAACUUAUACCACAAGGCAUUUCAAUAAUUAACGAUAUUCUUGUAUAUAUAUCUUUAUAGUCUUGAUCAAUCUCUUUAAUCAAUAGCUUAACCACUUAAAAAUUAAAUUGCUCAAAAUUUUCCUUUAAAGUUCUUUUCCAAGUCUCGUCUUUCUAAUCAUCUCUAUAUCUCCAAUGUCAUAGCUAAUUUGUUCGUCAUCAGCCACAUACAAUAUAUCUAACUUGAAAUUCCUCAAAUUUACUCCAAAUGCCAAAUCUCAUGGCCUCAUUAGUUGAUCAAUCUAAAGAUGAAAUUAGACAUUUAUCUUUCCUUAAAUGCACCUUAAAAUCAAGGAAUCAUCUACUGAGACCUUUCCGAACUUAACUUCUUUUAGUCUUAUUACCUUUUAGUUGACAGCAUUAUAAUUAACUUGUUUAAUGCCAGAUCAUCGAUAGAUUAUCUUAGUCAUUAUCUAGUGAUAUAACCACUGACAGAACAUCAUCAUUGAGUCAAAUUAUAACUAACUUCGUAUGAAUUUUUGUACCAAUUUGCAACAUAUAUAUUCCUAUAUAUUUUUUCAAAAAUUUUGACUUCAAGUAAUCUUAGGCAUAGCAAGUUCAAUGAAUCUCUUGUAAUAUUAAAAUAACUGUCAAUUUUAGUUUAAAAUCAUUUCCUCUCACGUUUAAUCAUAUCAUGCUCACCAUUCUGUGGAGAAUACUCAAAACCGGUUUAUGUGUUCUAUACUCAUACUAGAGCUAAUCACUAAUUGGCACCAUCCCCAAAACACCAUGUGUCUUAAAAGUCAAUUGUUUUUUUAGCCAAAUUCAUAUUCUAGUGUCAUGCCUCUAGGUCGUAGCUCAUUACCAAAGUCUUUUCUCGUAUAUAAAUACUCAAAAUCUUAAAUCGUAAGCUCUUUCUAAGUGAAUCUCUACAAUUCUCGUAGCGUAUUUCUAUUCCUUUACCAAGGGUAGUAUCAUUUAAUCAAACCAUGUAAAACCCGACCUUAUAAACACAUGUUAUGAUAUACAUGCACUGAGUAGCAUGUUAUUACGCUAGAAAAGCCCAUAAGAAUAGAUAAAACUCGGUAUUGUACCUAACGGUAUACUUGAGUUGAUUUAACUUCGAACUAGUUCAAAUAGGAAUCGUAAGAUGAAAUUUAAUAUUUUACAGUCCAGGAAUGACUAAAAAUGAUUAUUCGGAGUUCGAGGGUUCAUUUGGGAAAAAAUUAAAAAUUUUAAUGUUCAGGGGCAAAAUCGUCAUUUUGCCACCUAAGAUAAUAAUUUGAUCAUGGAGUGAAAUUUUUGACCAAGAUUAACUAUUUGGAGUAUAAUUUAAUGAUAGGAAGUGAAAAAUUUUAAUUUCGGCAAUUUUCGAAACAUAGGGGCAAAACGGUAAUUUGGUUGCCCCAAGGUAAAAUCGUAAUUUUCACCACACAAAACUUGUCAAAAUCAUAGGAUUUAUUUAUUUUGGUAUGAAUAACUAUGGUAUUUUAAGUGGUGAAAAAAAUUGAAGUUUAAAGGACGAAAUUUUAAAAACGGGCCAAUGGAAAAGUGACACAUGGCACUUUUUAAUGAUUUAAUUUUAUUUUAAAGGAAAAUCAGCCCAUUUAAACCCCACAUCAGGUGAUGGUCGGCCAUAAGGAGAAAAUAAGAGAGAAAAUAGAGAGGAAAGGAAGAAAAGAGAAAAAUCAAAGGAAAACUAGAAAAUUCAAAGGGGAAUUCACGUUUUUCGUCUGUUUACGUGUCUAACGGUAAGAUUUUUCAACUUUAGCUUGAUUUCUACCUUUCCUAUGCCUUUGUUUCCAUUUAGCAUGCUUGAGGAGAGAGAUCAAAAAGUGAUACCAAGGGCUGGCCGAAUUUCAAGGGGAAGGAUUUUAAAAUUUUUAUGUUUUGAUUCUUAGUUAAUUGAUAGUUUUAGUUAGUUAAAUGUGUAUAAAAAUCAAAUAGGGCAAGAAAGCAUGAAAUUCUUACAAUACCCACCCUUGGCCGAAUAUUCAGUGAUGUACAAUGAUGAUGAACUGAUUUUUAUUCUAAGAGAAAUGAAGAGAAAAUGAUGAAAAAUGGUUAAAUGUGAUAGAAAAACAAAGUGAAAAAUUAACCGAGUUAAUGUCCCAUUUUUGACCGAAUUUUCCAAGGACGAAAGUGAGCUGAUUUUGGUGAUUUUAGAGGGUUAUUGGCUGAUAUUUAAUGGUUAGAAAUGUUGGAGAGAAAAUGGGACAAUUUAGAGCUAAAAUGGAGCGCGUUAGCAAUUUAUCGGGGUAAAGUGCCAAAAAUAGGUUAAUACCGCGUUUAAGCCGUUUUAGGCUACUGCAUUUCAUACCAUGCAUUAGUAUAAGAUUUAAGUCAAUUAUAUAGUGAUUUAGCAUCAAUGUGGUGAAUUGUGUAAUUUUUGCAAUGUGUCUAGGAGGAGAGCCUUCCGAUAACGGCAAGGAAGUUGUACCCGAUAAACAGUGAUCGGGGCAUCUAGAAAGCAUUUAAUUUGUACAAACUGUGAGCAAAUCUAUUAUUAUUGUAAGUUGUCUAGAGUUUAUUUUUAAAUGCUCUUUAUGUAUUUUAUGAAACGAAAAUGAGAUUAAAAUGAGACUUUUGAUGUUUUAGAAAUAAAUGUGCCAAAUAAAUAUAUUGUGUUGAUUAUCUGAAAUAAGAAACUUUUGAUCAUGAAAUUGAGUAAUUGGAGGCUGCCAAUUGUCUUGAAAAAUAUAUUUUCCUAUGAAUGGCUUAUGAUAUAUGAGUAUGUGUGGCUAUAUUUUAUAAUUGCAUUGGGAAUUUAUGUAAGCUGUCUUUUACUAUGUAGGCUGGAUAAAUAAAUAAAAGCCACGUUAUACUGUCGAAAUUUUAUUAAAAUUGGUGGGUUUAGUCACUGCAGUGACGGGUUUUCGUGGACUGCCUAUUAGAGGGGUACGGUAAACCUCGAUUGCAUAGUUACUCCAGUUGUAGAGGCGAGGAGGGUAACUCCUGGGGUAGUGUUAGAGCUCACUUCACGUCAAACCCCCACGUGAAUGUGUAACUCGGCCAAUGCCAAGGAACGACUUGUUUUCAAAACUAACAUGUGUUUAACAUGUAAAUAUCUUAACAACCUUGGCGGAUUCGGUUAGAUGCCUCGGCCAAGGUAUCCCCGAGGACUAGUUUUUGGCUUGAGCCCUGUUUCUAAUAAAAGUCAUAAGCCUUAACAACUGUUUUGGUAAAUUACAAAUAUUUUAUAUUUUAAGAAAUAAAUUGAAAACCUUAUGAAAUGGUUUGUGAUUUGUUGUUUAAGCUUGCAUCUAUUUUACUCGCCUUUAGAUAUUUAUGAUAAUGUCUGUUUACUCAUUGGGAUUGCAAAAUCUCACCCACAUCCUUUCCAAAUAUUUUAGGCCUGUGGUAGCUUGUAGAUACCCGAUUUUGUCGAGGAUUCCAGUUGACCCCUCCAUCUCACAGGCAGUAGGUUACUAUCACUAACAGUUGGUGUAUUUAUGGGCCACUUGUCAUUGUAAUUAUUAUUGUACAUUAUAACUUUGUAAAUUAUUGUAUGUAUGAAUUUAUUUUACUUCCCCGUUACAAAAGAUUACUUACACGUGUUUCUAUAAAUAUUGUUUUAUAUAAAAAUGCUAUAUUUUAAUCAAUAUUUUGAAUAGUAAUAUUUGUCUAUAAAUCUUAAAAAAAAAAUAAUUUUUAUCUUUUGAUUUAUUUGAGCCGAAAACGACUGGUAAUUGUUUAAAACGGAAUGUUUAACAACGAUUGCUCACAGGAAAGGUAAGAAACUGAUACGUAAGCCUUGCGGGGUUCCAAUUGGCAUUCCGGGUAAUGAGUGUCAAUCGGGACGUCGCGACGGUUGUCAUGGGCCUAAGGGAGGUUCCGGGUCGUGACAAACCAUAUCACCCUUGUUCUCUAAAUAUUCAUGUCACGACCCGAAACCUCUCUCGUGCCCAUGACAACCGCCGCGACGUCUCGAUUGACACUCAUUACCCGGAAUGCCAAUCGGAACCCCGCAAGGCUUACGUAUCAGUUUCUUGCCUUUCCUGUGAGCAAUCAUUGUUAAACAUUCCGUUUUAAACAAUUACCAGUCGUUUUCGACUCAAGUAAAUCAAAAGACAAAAGUUAUUUUAUUUUAUUAUUUUUUUUUAAAAAUUUGAGACAAAUAUUACUAUUGAAAAUAUUGAUUAAAAUAUAGCAUUUUUAUAUAAAAUAAUAUUUAUAGAAACACGUGUAAGUAAUCUUUUGUAACGUGGAAGUAAAAUAAAUUCAUACAUACAAUAAUUUACAAAGUUAUAAUGUACAAUAGAAAUUACAAUGACAAGUGGCCCAUAAAUAUACCAAGUGUUGGUGAUAGUAACCUACUGUCUGUGAGAUACAAGGGUCAACUAGAAUCCUCGACAAAAUCGGGUAUCUACAAGCUACCAUAGGCUUGAAAUAUUUGGAAAGGAGGUAAGUGAGACUUUGCAAUCCCAAUGAGUAAACAAACAUUAUCAUAAAUAUAUGAAGGCGAGUAAAAUGGAGGCAAGUUUAAACAACAAAUCACAAGCCAUUUCAUAAGGUUUUCAAUUUAUUUCUUAAAUCAUAAAAUAUUUGUAAUUUAUCAAAACAGUUGUUAAGGCUUAUGACUUUUAUUAGAAACAGGGCUCAAGCCAAAAACUAGUUCUCGGGGAUACCUUGGCCGAGGCAUCUAACCGAGUCUGCCAAGGUUGUUAAGAUAUUUAUAUGUUAAACACAUGUUAGUUUUGAAAACAAGCCGUUCCUUGGCGUUGGCCGAGUUACACAUUCACGUGGGGGUUCGACGUGAAGUGAGCUCUAACACUACCUCGGGAGUUACCCUCCUCGCAACCGGAGUAACAAUGCAAUCGGGUUUACCGUACCCCUCUAAUAGGUAGUCCACGAAAACCCGUCACUGCAGUGACUAAACCCACCAAUUUUAAUAAAAUUUCGAUAGUAUAACGUGGCUUUUAUUUAUUUAUCCAGCCUGCAUAGUAUAACGACAGCUUACAUAAAUUCCCAAUGCAAUUAUAAAAUAUAGCCACACAUACUCAUAUAUCAUAAGCCAUUCAUAGGAAAAUAUAUUUUUCAAGACAAUUGGUAGCCUCCAAUUACUCAAUUUCAUGAUCAAAAGUUUCUUAUUUCAGAUAAUCAACACAAUAUAUUUAUUUGGCACAUUUAUUUCUAAAACAUCAAAAGUCCCAUUUUAAUCUCAUUUUCGUUUCAUAAAAUACAUAAAGAGCAUUUAAAAAUAAACUCUAGAUAAUUUACAAUAAUAAUAGGUUUACUCACAGUUUGCACAAAUUAAAUGCUUUCUAGGUGCCCCGAUCAUUGUUCGUCGGGUACGACUUUCUUGCCUUUACCAGAAGGCUCUCCUUCUAGACACAUUGCAAAAAUUACACAAUUCACCACAUUGAUGCUAAAUCACUAUAUAAUUGACUUAAAUCCUAUACUAAUGCAUGGUAUGAAAUGCAAUAGCCUAAAACAGCUUAAACGCGGUAUUAACCUAUUUUUGAUACUUUACCCGAUAAAUUGCUAACGCGCUCCAUUUUAGCUCUAAAUUGUCCCAUUUUCUCUCCAACAUUUCUAACCAUUAAAUAUCAUCCAAUAACCCUCUAAAAUCACCAAAAUCAGCUCACUUUCGUCCUUGAAAAAUUCGUUCAAAAAUGGGACAUUAACUCGGUUAAUUUUCACUUUGUUUUUCUAUCACAUUUAACCAUUUUUCAUUAUUUUCUCUUCAUUUCUCUUAGAAUAAAAAUUAGUUCAUCAUCAUUGUACAUCACUGAAUAUUCAGCCAAGGGUGGGUAUUGUAAGAAUUUCAUGCUUUCUUGCCCUAUUUGAUUUCUAUAUACAUUUAACUAACUAAAAUUACCAAUUUAACUAAGAAUCAAAACAUAAAAAUUUCAAAAUCCUUCCUGUUGAAAUUCGGCCAGCCCUUGGUGUCACUUUUUAAUCUCUCUCCUCAAGCAUGCUAAAUGGAAACAAAGGCAUAGGAAAGGUAGAAAUCAAGCUAAAGUCGAAAAAUCUUACUGUUAGACGCGUAAACGGAUGAAAAACGUGAAUUCCCCUUUGAAUUUUCUAGUUUUCCUUUGGUUUUUCUCUUUUCUUCCUUUCCUCUCUAUUUUCUCUCUUAUUUUCUCCUUAUGGCCAACCAUCACCUGAUGUGGGGUUUAAAUGGGCUGAUUUUCCUUUAAAAUAAAAUUAAAUCAUUAAAAAGUGCCAUGUGUCACUUUUCCAUUGGCCUGUUUUUAAAAUUUCGUCCUUUAAACUUCAAUUUUUUCACCACUUAAAAUACCAUAGUUAUUCAUACCAAAAUAAAUAAAUCCUAUGAUUUUGACAAGUUUUGGGUGGUGAAAAUUACGAUUUUACCUUGGGGCGACAAAAUUAUCGUUUUGCCCCUAUGUUCUGAAAAUUACCGAAAUUGAAAAUUUUCACUUCCUAUCAUUAAAUUAUACUCCAAAUAGUUAAUCUUGGUCAAAAAUUUCACUCCAUGAUCAAAUUAUUAUCUUAGGUGGCAAAAUGACGAUUUUUCCCCUAAACAUCAAAAUUUUCAAUUUUUUCCCAAAUGAACCCUCGAACUCCGAACAAUCAUUUUUAGUUAUUAUUGUACUGUUAAAUAUUAAAUUUCAUCCAACGAUUUCUAUUUGAACUAGUUCGAGGUUAAAUCAACUCAAGUAUACCGUUAGGUACAAUACCGGGUUUCGUCUAUUCUUAUAGGCUUUCCUAGCGUAAUAACAUGCUACUCAGUGUAUGUAUGUCAUAACAUGUGUUUAUAGGGUCAGGUUUUACAAUUCAUAACACAAUUUAGCCUUUGCCUACCCGUAUCAGGUACUUUGCCUUGAUAAUUACUCAAAAAUAAAUUGAAACUUGUGGGGGGAGUAGCUCGUUUCACAAUUUAUACCUUACAUCUACAAGUAUAUUGAGACCGUAACCUUAUCAAGUCUACAUAAUGGUAAGAUAAUCAUUGCCUUAAACCCACAUUUCCAGACAUCCUUAUAUUUGCAACAUAUCUUUAUACUUAUGUGACAUAUCAGUCACAACCUCCAACUUGACUAUAUAAAACUAACUUAGUAUGAUUACAUUGAUUAUCCUUAAGCUUCUUAUGCGCAACGUAACAACAUCCAUAUUUCUCCCAUCAUUCAUCUCACUUUUCAUUCACUCUUUCCUUAGCUUUUUAACAAGGCUUAAUCUCUCGUCUCCCUUAAUUCUUAGGACUUGACUUUAAUCUGCGUAAUGUUUAUCUUAAUAUGUCACAUAGCAAUUUAGAAACUUCUCUAUUCAUUCGUAUAAAGACUUUCCAAGAUCUUAAAAAUCCAAUUAACAAAGCUUAACAUCAAGUCCAAUGACCAUAAUUCAGCUCGUAAGUUUAACUUCACAUUUUUCAUAUCUCAUUCAUGUGUCCUAGACAUGAGGUGUUCCUAGUUCUGCGGCGCGAUGGCAGUUGGAGUUUACUUGACCAACGCUAUUCGGCUGCAUUUAAGGUUACUACAUUGAUCAUCCUCAACUGUUUGGUUUUCCUACAAGCUUACGUCACAAUUUCCAUAACCAUUUAUAUUAUCUUGUGCUUAUCACAUAUAAUAGGCAAAGUCAAUAUUUUCAAAUUAAACCUUGGAAUCUCGUAAUCACUUGAUUAAAAUCCAAACCAGCUCCAUCUAAGUUGUUAUACAUAUAUUCCACACAAAUUCUCAUACUAAAGAUUUCGGAAGCCCAACACCAUUUAUGUAUAGGCAGAGCAAACUCAAUUAACAUAAUGCACUUACCUCUGUGUACGUGAGUAUCAAUUUAUACCUCCCUUAAUACUUAGAUUUAUAAACCUCAAAUGAAUCUCAACAAUCACUAUUUAUUCCGGUCAAAAUAUGCUUCUUAUUACCAUUAUCGUACGUUCUUCUUUAUAUUAACCUCAAAUACCACUCAUAGUCAUCAAAUUUCUUCCCAUUGACAAUCAUGGCUCAAAUUUUAACUCCACAAAAUGAAUGAGUUAUUACGGACCUAUUAGUCCAGCUCCACUUUCCUCCAUCCUUAGUCGGAGCAGUAUAUCAUUACAUCAACCUUUUAACAGGAGCAUUUACUUUAAAUCUUUCCAACAGUAGCUCGUAUCUCGGGUGGCAUCUCAAACUCGGAUAAUGACACCACUUAUGAACUUUACAAGACGUUAGAAGAAGAGUAGGUUACUAGGAAUAAGAGUUUAUAUAGCCUCUUGUUUAUGACUUGUGCUGCAGUCACAAACCAUAAACAAGACUCUACAUUAACUCCGAUAACUUCACUGACUGACACAAGAAUUCAUAAGACUCGACUAAACCUAAGGCUCUAAUACCAACGUUGUAACGACCCCUCCUUGGUCGCUACCAACGUCCGAGACCUCUGGGAGAUCCCGUCAAGUCCCGAACAAGCCUUAAAGAAAUUUCUCAAUAACUCAAUGUAUAUUUCUACUAAACCGUAUUCAUAUUUGAACCAUAAAUAUUUAAAGCAUGAAUUCAACAAUAACCAUAGCCAUUAAAUUUUGACUUUAAGUCAUGAGAGCACAAUUAAAUACAUUAAGUUCAAAAAUCUCAAAUUUUCCGUUUAUAUCAAAACUAAUAUUUGUUUACAUAGUAAAACCAGAGUACUACAAUUCAACCUCUAACAGUGGAGCGACUCGGAAAAAAAUGCUAUGAGAUGCCUUUACCUAUCUGCGGUGGACCGUAUGUGUAAAGCCCGACCUUAUAAAAUACUAUUCAUGACAUACAUGUGAUGAUAGCAUGAUUGCAUGCUAGGAGAGUCCCGAAAAAUUUACAAAAGUCGGUAUUGUACCUAGAGGUACAACAAAGUUUAUUUAAUCCUCGAACUAGAUCAAAUAGGAAUUUUAAGGUGAGAUUAAGAGUUUCACAGUUCAUGGAUGACUUAAAAUGGUAAUUUGGAGUUUGAGGAUCAAUUUGGAGUCAAAUCGGAAUUUUCACUAACUAGGGGCAAAAUGGUCAUUUGCCACUUGAGGACAAAAUGGGAAUUUUAGAAAAGAUUUUUUUGACCCCAUUUGACUUAUUAGAGUAUAAUUUGACUUAUUGAAGUAUGAUUUGAGGUUUAGAAGUGAAAAAUUUUAAUUUCGGUAUAAUUUGGAGUAAAGGGGUAAAAUGGUAAUUUUGCCACCUCAGGGGCAAAAUUGUAAUUUUCCACCACCAGGAUAUUUUUUCCAGCACAUGGUCUUCCUUUGUCUUCAUCUUUGACCCUUGACUAAACAUGUGGUGGAGAUAAAAUGUUUAAAUUUUUAAAAUUUUAAAAACGGGCCAAUGACAUGAUGCCAUGUGUCAUGCCUUUAUUAAUUUAUUAUUUUCCUUUUUAAAAGGCACAAAAUCAGCCCAUCUUCCACCCCAUGGCCGGCCAAACCAGCAAGAAGAGAGAGAAAACAAAAACAAAACCCUAGAGAGAGAAAAUCAAAGAAAAAGUGUGAAUUUUCAAGGAAAUUAAGUGAAAAAGGUGAGUUUUUUUUAUUAAGCUUGAGUUUUCUUAUUCCCAAGCAUUUCUCUUUAUUUUCCAUGAUUAAAUUACAUGUUUUCAUGAUGAAUUCAAUUCUGAAAAAAUGGGUUAGGAGAGAGAAAGUUGUUGGAUUUAUUUGAUUUUAAUUUAUGUUAGUGUUUUUAGUUAGUUUAGCAUAUUUAGAAACAAAACAACAAGAAAAGAAUUUAUUUUCUCCCCCAACCAUUAAUGGCUGAAUUUACCAUGUAGUGAGUGAGGAUGAGUUUGAUUUUAUUCUAGGAGAAUUGGUUAAGGAAUAAUGAAUUAUGAGCCUAGAAAAAUAAUGGGAAUUUUCGGAGCAAAAAUACGAAUUUUUACCCACUAGGGGUAUUUUCGUAAUUUGCUGUUGGGACUGAUAAUUUGCACCACACUGAGGGACAUUAAGUUAAUUUGGGUGCAAUUGAGGUAUAGAAACUGAAAAGAAUUAAAUUGGAGUUUAAACGGACCCGUUAGGAAUUUAAUCGGGUGAUAAGACGAAUUAGGCCAAUACCGGGUUUAGAUAGUUACCAGUGCAUUUUUGCAUUCCAUAUCAUGCAUUGGUAGUCUAAAUUAGUUUAAUUUUGAUUUAGUACCAACUUGGUGAAACUCUCGAUUUUGUACUGUGUCAAGGUGGUGAGUCCUCCGAUAAAGGCAAGGAAAUUGCAUCCGAGGACCAGUAGACAGAGUGCUUCGAAAGUCUGCAUUCUAGACAUUGUGAGUAAACUUACUGUCAUUUUAAUUAUCUAGGGUGGUUUUUAGAUGCUUUCAUGAAUUCUAUGGAAAAAGGAAUUUAAAAAGAUAAAUUUUCAUGUUUUAUGAAUAAAUGAGUUUCAAUGAAAUUAAAUUAUAAAUUGUUUUGAAAUUAAUAGUGAUUUUGAAAAAUAGAGUACACGGAGACUGUUAAUUGUGGCAAUUUGAUUGUUUAAAUUAACUGGCUUAUGAUAAAUCGAGCAUGAUUGGCUAGUUGGCAAUUGUAUUGAAAUGCGAAUUGUUUGGUUACCUUGAAAAACUACGAAUUACAAAAUUGCCAUAUCAUGUUAUUGAGUUUUAUUAUAUGGUGGAUUAUAUAUUAAUUAAUCACUGCAGUAGGGGGUUUCUGUGGACCAGCCUUUUAGAGGGGCACGGUAAACCCCAUUAUAUUCUUACCUCGAACGGAGAGGCGCGUAGGGUAUCUCCUGGGGUAAAGUUUAGGGUUCACUUCACGCUAAACCACCACGUGAGGGGGAACUCAGCCAACGCCAAGGAACGGCUAUGUUUUCAAAACAAAAACAUGAUUUAUGUGAAAUGUGAAUUUUAAUAGCCUUGGCGGUCUCGGUAGGAUGCCUCGGCCAAGGUGUCCCCGAGAAUGGAUUUAUGGCACAAGCCUAGAUUUUUAUGAGAUUCAUAAGCCUCUUUACGUGUUUUGAACAAAAUGUGUUCUAAUGCUAUAACCCAGUUUAUGAUGAUUUACUUUAUUGUCUCCAUGUACUCAACUCUAGAUGUUUAUGAUGAUGUUUGUUUACUCAUUGGGAUUUUAUAAUCUCACCACCCUCCUUUCCACCCAUUUCAGGUUCAGUAUAGACUGUAGAUAGCUGAUCUCAUCGAGGACUACAGUGGGAUCUGCAUUUUCCAAACCGUAGGUUCACAGUCCUCUUUACUUUUGUUUAUUCGGGGGCACUCUUGUUAUUGUAAAUUAAAUUAAAUAUUUUGGCUUACUGUAUUUAAGUAUGUAUAAAUUUAUUUAGCUUUUACGUUAUAAAAAUUAUUCACGUAUAACUCUAUAAAUAUUGUUUUAUAAGAAAAUAGAAUAUUUUACUUAAUAUUUCUUUUAUUUUCUUAUUAUAUUCAAAUAACCAUAAUUUCGUUUUAAAUGAAGAUUUUAGACUUUUAAACUCAUUUUGAAUAUGAAUUGUGUGUUUUGUACUUGUAUAUUACGUUUUAGCCAGUUUUAAAAUUUUUGAGAAAAAUGACCAAAAUACCCUUGUGAGACGAAAAAUUAAUAUUUUAUUUGUUUAAAGUUGGAAACAGCUUAAAAUAUUUUAGAACACGAUAUUUGACAAUGGUUGCUCACAAGGGAACAGAGAAACUGAUAGUAAAGCCUUGCGGGGUUUCGGGUUGACAUUCCGGGCAAUAAGUGUCUACCGGGACACCGCGGCGGUUGUCACGGGCUCGAGGGGAGUACCGGGUCGUGACAAUUCGAUUGGUAUCAGAGCUUUUGGUUUUCAAGAUCAAAGUUUUUAGUUUUAAAGUUGUUUUAAAUAUUUACAAUAUCAGUGUGGCCCCGGAUUAAGUUAAGUUAGGUUAGGUUGAAUAGAAUGCAUGCAUUUGCAUAUAGAGCCUAAGGUUACCUAAACUUGCUCGUAUUUUUUUUAUAUAGAUUAUAAUGCCUCCUCGACGCGGACGCCCACCUCUCACUAGAUCGGUUGGGAGGGGAAGAGGUCGUUCCCAACGUCAUCAGCCAGAUACAGUAGAGGAGGAAUCAGCUGCAUCUACCAUUCGGGCAGCACCUGCUGCUGAGCAGGCCGAUAGUCCUCCACAUCCUCCAUCUCCUCAGCCACCUACUGGUAUUCCCGCCAUGCCUACUGAGGCAGCACAGGCAUUGGCAGCUUUCUUUGCAGCAAUGGCUGGUCAAGCUCAGACUGGUCAAGUUCCACCUGUAGUGCCUCCAGCUACUCCUUUAGUUCCACCACCAAUACAAGAUGUAUCCAUUUCCAAGAAGCUGAAGGAGGCUAGGCAAUUGGGUUGUGUAUCUUUCACUGGUGAGUUGGAUGCCACUGUGGCAAAGGACUGGAUUAAUCAGGUGUCCGAGACUCUCUCUGAUAUGGGAUUAGAUGAUGACAUGAAGCUGAUGGUGGCUACGAGAUUAUUAGAGAAGAGGGCUCGUACUUGGUGGAAUUCGGUGAAGUCCCGUUCCGCUACUCCUCAGACAUGGUCCGAUUUUCUCAGGGAAUUCGAUGGUCAGUAUUUCACUUAUUUCCAUCAAAAAGAAAAGAAGAGAGAAUUUCUGAGUUUGAAACAGGGAAAUCUAACUGUAGAGGAGUACGAGACUCGUUUUAACGAGUUGAUGUUAUAUGUGCCGGAUCUGGUGAAAUCUGAGCAGGAUCAGGCCAGCUAUUUCGAGGAAGGGCUCCGUAAUGAGAUCAGAGAGCGAAUGACAGUGAUUGGUAGGGAGCCACAUAAGGAGGUGGUACAGAUGGCUUUACGGGCUGAGAAGCUCGCGACUGAGAAUAGAAGGAUUCGGACUGAGUUUGCAAAAAGGAGGAAUCCUGGUAUGUCUUCUAGUCAGCCAGUAAAAAGAGGCAAGGACUCAGCGACUUCAGGGAGCACUACUUCUGUUUCCGUGACAUCUCCUCGACCUCCAUUUCCACCAUCACAGCAGAGACCUUCGAGGUUUAGCAGAUCUGCUAUGACUGGUUCUGGGAAGAGUCUCGGAGGUUUUGACAGAUGCAGAAAUUGUGGGAAUUAUCAUAGUGGGCUAUGUAGAGGGCCAACAAGAUGUUUCCAAUGUGGACAGACGGGUCACAUUAGGAGUAAUUGCCCACAGUUAGGACGAGCCACUGUAGCUGCAUCAUCUCCACCAGCUCGCACAGAUAUACAGAGGAGAGAUUCUUCUGGGUUACCACAGAGACAGGGAGUAGCCAUACGGUCUGGUGUGGAGAGUAAUACCCCGUCACAUCCACCUUCGAGACCACAGACUCGUACCGCGACAAGAGUUUUUGCUGUGACAGAAGAUGAGGCACGAGUCCGACCUGGAGCAGUGACAGGUACUAUGUCUUUAUUUGAUAAAGAUGCUUAUGUUUUGAUAGAUUCUGGCUCAGAUAGAUCUUAUGUGAGUACGACAUUUGCAUCAAUUACUGAUAGAAACCUGUCACCAUUAGAGGAAGAAAUUGUAGUGCAUACCCCUCUAGGAGAACAGUUGAUUAGAAAUACUUGUUAUAGAGACUGUGGGGUAAGGGUAGGUGAGGAAGAAUUUAGGGGUGACUUAAUUCCUCUAGAGAUCUUGGAUUUUGAUUUAAUAUUAGGUAUGGACUGGUUAACUGCACAUCGGGCGAACGUGGAUUGUUUCCGAAAAGAAGUUGUUCUUCGGAAUUCGGAGGGAGCAGAGAUUGUGUUUGUAGGGGAACGUCGAGUAUUACCAUCUUGUGUAAUCUCGGCCAUCAAAGCUUCAAAAUUAGUGCAAAAAGGGUAUCCGACUUAUUUGGCAUACGUGAUCGAUACUUCAAAGGGGGAACCUAAGUUAGAGGAUGUCCCAAUAGUAAGUGAGUUUCCUGAUGUAUUUCCUGAUGAUUUACCGGGAAUACCUCCUAAUCGAGAGCUUGAGUUCCCUAUUGAUUUACUUCCGGGUACCGCACCUAUUUCUAUUCCUCCAUAUAGAAUGGCUCCAGCAGAGUUGAAGGAACUGAAAGCCCAGUUGCAAGAUUUGGUGGAUAAAGGUUUCAUUCGCCCUAGCAUUUCUCCUUGGGGAGCACCAGUCCUAUUUGUAAAGAAGAAAGAUGGCACUCUUCGAUUGUGUAUUGAUUACCGUCAGCUGAACCGAGUGACCAUCAAGAAUAAAUACCCUUUACCCCGGAUAGAUGAUCUUUUUGAUCAAUUACGAGGUGCUAUGGUAUUCUCUAAGAUUGAUUUGAGAUCUGGGUACUAUCAGUUGAGGAUUAAGGAGCAGGAUGUACCUAAGACUGCCUUCAGGACGCGUUAUGGGCAUUAUGAGUUUCUGGUGAUGCCGUUUGGUUUGACUAAUGCCCCGGCAGUUUUUAUGGAUCUUAUGAACAGGGUGUUCCAUCCAUACUUGGAUAAGUUUGUGAUAGUAUUCAUCGAUGACAUCCUGGUUUAUUCGAAGAAUGAUGAUGAACAUGCUGCCCAUUUGCGCAUUGUGUUGCAAACUUUGCGCGAGAGACAACUCUAUGCCAAGUUCUCUAAAUGUGAAUUCUGGUUGAAGGAAGUGGUUUUCUUGGGACAUGUGGUGUCCGGAGCUGGAAUUUAUGUCGAUCCCAAGAAGAUUGAGGCAAUCUUGCAAUGGGAGCAACCGAGAACGGUAACUGAGAUUCGUAGUUUCCUUGGCUUAGCCGGUUAUUACCGGAGAUUUGUUCAGGGAUUUUCUUUGAUAGCAGCUCCUCUGACUCGUUUGACUCGUAAAGGAGUUAAGUAUGAGUGGGAUGAUGUUUGUGAGAAUCGAUUUCAGGAGCUAAAGAACCGGUUAACCUCCGCUCCCGUUUUAACACUUCCUGUUAGUGGAAAAGAAUUUGUGGUAUAUAGCGAUGCAUCUAAGUUGGGAUUAGGGUGUGUGUUGAUGCAGGACGAGAAAGUAAUAGCUUAUGCUUCCCGACAGUUGAAGAAGCACGAGACGAAUUACCCUACUCAUGACUUGGAGUUAGCAGCAGUAGUAUUCGCAUUGAAGAUUUGGAGACAUUAUUUAUAUGGUGAGCGUUGUCGGAUUUUUUCUGAUCAUAAAAGUUUGAAGUAUUUGCUCACCCAGAAAGAGCUUAACUUGAGACAGAGACGAUGGUUGGAGUUGAUUAAGGAUUAUGACUUAGUGAUUGAUUAUCAUCCGGGAAAAGCAAAUGUUGUAGCGGAUGCCUUAAGUCGUAAAUCCUCAUCGUCGUUAGCAACACUUCAAAGUUCUUAUUUUCCGAUGUUACUUGAGAUGAAAUCUCUAGGGAUCCAGUUGAAUAAUGGUGAGGAUGGAACCCUACUUGCUAGUUUCGUCGUGAGACCUUCAUUGUUGAAUCAGAUAAGAGAAUUGCAGAAAUCUGAUGAUUGGUUGAAACAGGAAGUUCAAAAGCUGCAAGAUGGAGAAGCUAGUGAGUUUAGACUCAGCGAUGAUGGUACUUUCAUGCUUAGAGACCGAAUUUGUGUUCCUAAGGAUGAUCAAUUGAGACGAGCUAUUUUGGAGGAAGCUCAUUCUUCCGCCUACGCUUUACAUCCCGGAAGCACCAAGAUGUAUCGGACUAUUAAAGAAAGUUAUUGGUGGCCGGGUAUGAAACGAGACAUAGCAGAGUUUGUAGCGAAAUGUCUCACAUGCCAACAGAUCAAGGCGGAGCAUCAAAAACCGUCAGGUACUCUUCAACCUUUACCGAUUCCUGAAUGGAAGUGGGAACAUGUGACUAUGGACUUUGUAUUGGGUUUGCCGCGGACACAAAGUGGGAAGGAUGCUAUUUGGGUGAUUGUGGAUAGAUUGACUAAGUCCGCCCAUUUCUUGGCUAUCCAUAGCACGUAUUCUAUUGAGAGGCUGGCAAGACUUUAUAUAGAUGAGAUUGUGAGAUUACACGGAGUCCCAGUUUCUAUUGUGUCAGAUCGAGACCCUCGAUUUACUUCUCGAUUUUGGCCGAAAUUUCAGGAAGCUCUUGGAACUAAAUUGAGAUUUAGUACUGCCUUUCAUCCACAGACAGAUGGUCAAUCUGAGAGAACUAUUCAGACCUUGGAGGAUAUGUUACGGGCUUGUGUCAUUGACUUUAUCGGGAGUUGGGACAGACACUUGCCAUUGGUGGAGUUUGCUUAUAAUAACAGUUUUCAGUCUAGUAUUGGGAUGGCACCAUACGAGGCUUUGUAUGGAAGGAAAUGCCGAACUCCGCUCUGUUGGGAUGAAGUAGGUGAGAGGAAAUUGGUGAAUGUGGAAUUGAUUGAUUUGACAAACGAUAAGGUCAAAGUUAUCCGAGAGCGAUUAAAGACAGCUCAAGAUAGGCAGAAGAAUUAUUCGGAUAAACGAAGGAAAGAUUUGGAGUUUGAAGUCGACGAUAAAGUUUUUCUUAAGGUUUCUCCUUGGAAAGGUAAUAAUUUGAAAUUUCCAAGUAUUAAAUCUUAUUUGAUUAUACUAUUGUGAUAAUUUGUGGUAUUUAUUGGAUGAUGAAAGGUGUGAUUCGAUUCGCGAAGAGGGGAAAGCUCAAUCCAAGAUACAUUGGACCUUUUCGUAUCAUUGAAAGGAUUGGGCCAGUGGCUUACAGACUUGAAUUACCCCCAGAGUUAGAUCGAAUUCAUAAUGUCUUCCAUGUCUCGAUGUUGAAAAAGUAUGUUCCCGAUCCCUCUCACAUUUUAGAGACACCUCCCAUUGAGUUGCAUGAGGAUUUGAAGUUCGAGGUGCAGCCUGUACGUAUUCUAGAUCGAAAGGAUCGAGUGCUAAGGAACAAGAGCAUUCCAAUGGUGAAAGUAUUGUGGAAGAAUGCUCGAAUGGAGGAGAUGACGUGGGAAGUCGAGAGCCAGAUGAGAAACCAAUAUCCACAUCUUUUAUUCGAAUCAGGUAAGUGAAAUUUUGAGGUCAAAAUUUUAUUUUAAGGGGGGUAGUGCUGUAAAGCCCGACCUUAUAAAAUACUAUUCAUGACAUACAUGUGAUGAUAGCAUGAUUGCAUGCUAGGAGAGUCCCGAAAAAUUUACAAAAGUCGGUAUUGUACCUAGAGGUACAACAAAGUUUAUUUAAUCCUCGAACUAGAUCAAAUAGGAAUUUUAAGGUGAGAUUAAGAGUUUCACAGUUCAUGGAUGACUUAAAAUGGUAAUUUGGAGUUUGAGGAUCAAUUUGGAGUCAAAUCGGAAUUUUCACUAACUAGGGGCAAAAUGGUCAUUUGCCACCUGGGGACAAAAUGGGAAUUUUAGAAAAGAUUUUUUUGACCCCAUUUGACUUAUUAGAGUAUAAUUUGACUUAUUGAAGUAUGAUUUGAGGUUUAGAAGUGAAAAAUUUUAAUUUCGGUAUAAUUUGGAGUAUAGGGGUAAAAUGGUAAUUUUGCCACCUCAGGGGCAAAAUUGUAAUUUUCCACCACCAGGAUAUUUUUUCCAGCACAUGGUCUUCCUUUUCUUCAUCUUUGACCCUUGACUAAACAUGUGGUGGAGAUAAAAUGUUUAAAUUUUUAAAAUUUUAAAAACGGGCCAAUGACAUGAUGCCAUGUGUCAUGCCUUUAUUAAUUUAUUAUUUUCCUUUUUAAAAGGCACAAAAUCAGCCCAUCUUCCACCCCAUGGCCGGCCAAACCAGCAAGAAGAGAGAGAAAACAAAAACAAAACCCUAGAGAGAGAAAAUCAAAGAAAAAGUGUGAAUUUUCAAGGAAAUUAAGUGAAAAAGGUGAGUUUUUUUCUAUUAAGCUUGAGUUUUCUUAUUCCCAAGCAUUUCUCUUUAUUUUCCAUGAUUAAAUUACAUGUUUUCAUGAUGAAUUCAAUUCUGAAAAAAUGGGUUAGGAGAGAGAAAGUUGUUGGAUUUAUUUGAUUUUAAUUUAUGUUAGUGUUUUUAGUUAGUUUAGCAUAUUUAGAAACAAAACAACAAGAAAAGAAUUUAUUUUCUCCCCCAACCAUUAAUGGCUGAAUUUACCAUGUAGUGAGUGAGGAUGAGUUUGAUUUUAUUCUAGGAGAAUUGGUUAAGGAAUAAUGAAUUAUGAGCCUAGAAAAAUAAUGGGAAUUUUCGGAGCAAAAAUACGAAUUUUUACCCACUAGGGGUAUUUUCGUAAUUUGCUGUUGGGACUGAUAAUUUGCACCACACUGAGGGACAUUAAGUUAAUUUGGGUGCAAUUGAGGUAUAGAAACUGAAAAGAAUUAAAUUGGAGUUUAAACGGACCCGUUAGGAAUUUAAUCGGGUGAUAAGACGAAUUAGGCCAAUACCGGGUUUAGAUAGUUACCAGUGCAUUUUUGCAUUCCAUAUCAUGCAUUGGUAGUCUAAAUUAGUUUAAUUUUGAUUUAGUACCAACUUGGUGAAACUCUCGAUUUUGUACUGUGUCAAGGUGGUGAGUCCUCCGAUAAAGGCAAGGAAAUUGCAUCCGAGGACCAGUAGACAGAGUGCUUCGAAAGUCUGCAUUCUAGACAUUGUGAGUAAACUUACUGUCAUUUUAAUUAUCUAGGGUGGUUUUUAGAUGCUUUCAUGAAUUCUAUGGAAAAAGGAAUUUAAAAAGAUAAAUUUUCAUGUUUUAUGAAUAAAUGAGUUUCAAUGAAAUUAAAUUAUAAAUUGUUUUGAAAUUAAUAGUGAUUUUGAAAAAUAGAGUACACGGAGACUGUUAAUUGUGGCAAUUUGAUUGUUUAAAUUAACUGGCUUAUGAUAAAUCGAGCAUGAUUGGCUAGUUGGCAAUUGUAUUGAAAUGCGAAUUGUUUGGUUACCUUGAAAAACUACGAAUUACAAAAUUGCCAUAUCAUGUUAUUGAGUUUUAUUAUAUGGUGGAUUAUAUAUUAAUUAAUCACUGCAGUAGGGGGUUUCUGUGGACCAGCCUUUUAGAGGGGCACGGUAAACCCCAUUAUAUUCUUACCUCGAACGGAGAGGCGCGUAGGGUAUCUCCUGGGGUAAAGUUUAGGGUUCACUUCACGCUAAACCACCACGUGAGGGGGAACUCAGCCAACGCCAAGGAACGGCUAUGUUUUCAAAACAAAAACAUGAUUUAUGUGAAAUGUGAAUUUUAAUAGCCUUGGCGGUCUCGGUAGGAUGCCUCGGCCAAGGUGUCCCCGAGAAUGGAUUUAUGGCACAAGCCUAGAUUUUUAUGAGAUUCAUAAGCCUCUUUACGUGUUUUGAACAAAAUGUGUUCUAAUGCUAUAACCCAGUUUAUGAUGAUUUACUUUAUUGUCUCCAUGUACUCAACUCUAGAUGUUUAUGAUGAUGUUUGUUUACUCAUUGGGAUUUUAUAAUCUCACCACCCUCCUUUCCACCCAUUUCAGGUUCAGUAUAGACUGUAGAUAGCUGAUCUCAUCGAGGACUACAGUGGGAUCUGCAUUUUCCAAACCGUAGGUUCACAGUCCUCUUUACUUUUGUUUAUUCGGGGGCACUCUUGUUAUUGUAAAUUAAAUUAAAUAUUUUGGCUUACUGUAUUUAAGUAUGUAUAAAUUUAUUUAGCUUUUACGUUAUAAAAAUUAUUCACGUAUAACUCUAUAAAUAUUGUUUUAUAAGAAAAUAGAAUAUUUUACUUAAUAUUUCUUUUAUUUUCUUAUUAUAUUCAAAUAACCAUAAUUUCGUUUUAAAUGAAGAUUUUAGACUUUUAAACUCAUUUUGAAUAUGAAUUGUGUGUUUUGUACUUGUAUAUUACGUUUUAGCCAGUUUUAAAAUUUUUGAGAAAAAUGACCAAAAUACCCUUGUGAGACGAAAAAUUAAUAUUUUAUUUGUUUAAAGUUGGAAACAGCUUAAAAUAUUUUAGAACACGAUAUUUGACAAUGGUUGCUCACAAGGGAACAGAGAAACUGAUAGUAAAGCCUUGCGGGGUUUCGGGUUGACAUUCCGGGCAAUAAGUGUCUACCGGGACACCGCGGCGGUUGUCACGGGCUCGAGGGGAGUACCGGGUCGUGACAGUAUGCGCCAAUGAUUACACACUAGGUCGAUCCCUGUCUAUAAAAGGAGAAAUAAGAGGGGUGUGAGUCUCACAGACUUAGUGAUCAUCGGCUCCGUGAGUAGGGCAUAGAUGGAAAACAAGCAAUAAGGUUGAGAUUUUGAAUAAUAAAACUUGCAACAGUAGAUAAAAAUAUUUAAUUCAAACGGAGAUUUGUGCCUUAUAUGUAUAAAAGAAAAUAUCAAGAAUCUCUUGUAAGUCAUAAUCAACCAUAAGUAUGUCAAAUCAAUUAAGUAAAAUUUUGUGCAGCGAAAAGGAUAACAACCAUUUUCAAAGUAAAUCUGUAAAAUAUCAUUUUAAACCUCGUGUUCAUAAAAAAAUCUCUGCAAUCGAAUUUGUCUUAUAUAAUACUAAAAUUAAAUCAAUAAAGAUGGGUAAGCUCCCGUAAAACCAAAUAGUAACCAGGUUUAUACACAGUUCGUAAAUCGCCUCGCAUGCGAGAGUAAAAUUCAUAUAACAGUAAAACCAGGGGGAGCUGCAGGAAACCAUAUAAUUUCGUUUUCACCAUGCAAGAAAUAAGAGUAUGAAAACCCAAAGAGAUUUUUGUCUCGAGUAGGAAAUCAAAUAAAAUCCGUGGUCCCGCUACCACGUAAUAACCUCUGGGAGCCUUGCUCCACCGGAUCCCACAUGCCAUGGCAGUCUCAAAGAUGUUGGUCGACAUCGGAGAUAUCAAGCAGUCGCAACCGCGUAAUCAUCUGGUGGCCUAGCCACGGAUACAUAUAUCACAAGCUGUGGCCUUAACCACGCUUAACCGCUAGUCGGUGACUCAAUGGUUCUCUAGCUAGAGCUCACUCGUGCACGAGGGUCACACUUAACCGAAGUGACAGUCGGCUUACUCUCGAAUCUCUCGGUUUAUAAAACCAUUUUAGAAAUCACUUUAUGUCCUUGAAAUCUCAUUUCAAAAUUAUUUCCAAAGUAUUCAACAUAGGGUAUGAUAAAAUCUAUCAUUUUCUCAAAAUAUAUUUAUGCAUGAAUUUCAAAACAAUAAUUCGCAUGGUGAAUAAGCAAUAUAACCAUGAAUGCACACUGCACAAAUAUAAGGCACAAAUUUUGAAGUAAAACAGUGCGAAGGGCUUGUUUCCCGAUUUUUAAAACACUUUACAUAUAAUUUAUACAUAUAUAUUCAAAACAAUUUUUGAACAUAAUUUGCAUUCACAAUUCCUUAAAAUUUCUACCAACACAUGCUAUCCACAAUUUUACAUCUAAAAUAAAAUAUACGUAUAUUUACACUAUUAUGGAAUUUUAAAAUUGAUACCUCCUACUUACCUCGCAAUAGCGAGAUAUUACAUCGUUAUUUCUACUUGUCGGCCACUCGUUACUUCUUCCGGCACACCACUAUAGUGCACUAUCUUUAUUUUAACACUUCCAAAUUGGGCUAGGUUGGCCCAAGUUUCCACCUUUAUUUUCUCUUUUGGACUUUUCUUUCCUUAUUGCCAUUGGGCCCUUUUCAUGGGCUCUUUCCUCUUCUCCAUUAUUGGGCUAUGCCCACAAUUUAUUUAUUUAUUUAUUUUUCGUUUCUUUCUCUCUCUUCUGCUCCUCUUCUGUCUAUUUUUUUUCUUUUGCAACCGAUAGACCUUUUCCUCCUCCUCACUUGCACCGCCCGAUUGGCCUUCUCUCACUCAAAACCAACUUCACAACCUGUGAGACCUUGUCAAGCUCGAUUAAAAGACGGUAUUGUACCGAGUGAUACAACUAAGUUAAAUCGAGUCUUGAACUAGUUCAAAUAGAAAUUCUAAGAGGAAUUUGAAAAUAUUGAAACCCACAGAAUGGCUUAGAAUAGUGAUUCGGAGCUCAAGGUCCAGUUUAGAGUCCAUUAGGAAAAUUGACCAAUUAGGGACAAAACGGUCAUUUUACCAUUUGAUGAUAAAAUGGAGAUUUUUAGCCAAGAUUUGAUCAUAUUUGACCAAGAAUAAUUAUAUGAAAUAUAAUUAUGAUUAUUGGAGUAUAAAAUGAUGUUUAGCAGUGAAAAAUUUUGAUUCCUGGUAUUUAUGGAGCACAAGGGCAAAAUGGUAAUUUUUCCACUAGAGGACUAAACGAAAAUUUUUUUUAAGUAAUUUUUACCCCAUUUGGUUAAUAUUGAUCAAUAUUAGUGUUAUUUUAGGUUGAAAAGUAGAAAUAAUGAGAUUCCGGUACAUUUCGGAGUAUAGGGGCAAAAUCGUAAUUUUUUCGUCUCGGGGGCAAAUCGGUAAAUUUUUCACCCCAGCACUUGUCAAGACCAAGGGAUUUUAAUUGUGGUAGGAUUGGAUAAAUACCAGAAUAUUUGUGGUGGAAAAUUAAGAAGAAAAAGUCAAAAAGUUAAAAAUUGGGCCAAUAAGCAUGUGACACAUGGCAUGCUUGAUUAUUUUAUUAUUUUCUAUAGAAAUCAGCCCAUUAAAUCCCCAAUUCCCUCACCAUAUUCGGCCUAGACAUCCAGCAACAAGAAAAAAGGAAGAACAAAAGGAAAAACAAGAAAACCUAGGUGGAAAUUCAAAGAAAAAGUGAAGAAAUCAAGGAAACAAGCUAGGUAAGUUAAAAUUUCUUUAAUUCUCCUUGAUACCUAGCUUACCCAUGCUUUUGUUCUUGAUUUCCAUGGUUGAAUAUUGAGUUAUCAUGAUGAAUUCAAUUCUGAAAAAUGGGUAUGGAAGAGGAAUUGUUGUUGGAAUAAUUUGAUUUUAGACUAUGUUAGUGUUUAGGGAUAGUUAAGCAUGGUUAUGAACAAAAACACAAAAGAAAUAUUCAAUUUCUCUAGGGUUCCUUGUUGGCCGAACCAUGAGGGCUGAAUAUCAAUGGGGGAUUGUUUUUAUUUCAAGGAAAAUGGCAUGAAAAAUGAUGAAUUAAGGUGAAACGGUUAUGUAGAAAAAAUUUCGAUGCUAGUGCAUCAAAUGAUCGAAUUUUUCUAUAAGGAACUGUGAGGGUUCUAAUGCUGAAUUUGGCUUUAUUUAAAUGGUAUGUGGUAAACUAAGGUAUUAGAGGAGAAAUGGAUUAAUUUGGAGGUGAUUUGGACAUAAUCGCCAAUUAAUCGGGUGAUCAGUCGAAUUUAAUCGAUACCGCGAUUAAGCGGUAAUCGGACGUAUUUUUGCAUUUACGUAUCAAGCAUUAGUAAUUUAAAGUAGUUUAUAUCAAUUUAGGGACAAUAUAGUAAAUUCCUCGACUUUGUUAUUUGUCAAGGUAGUGAGACGUCCGGAAAAGACAAAGGAAUUGCGCUUGAGGGCUAUUAGUCUGAGUGCACCCGAAAUUCGAAUUUUCGAUACCGGUGAGUGGACUUGCAUUUCAAACUUGUUUUGGGGAAUAUGAAAGAUUCUAUCCAACUUGUCUUAGAAAAUGUACCUUGGGAACAAACUUUUAGUACAAUGAUUUUAUAUUGUGAAAAUGUGCUAUACAAUAGUUUAUGUGUUAUCACAAUAUGAUAAAAUGCAUGAUAUGCAUUGGAUGCUUCUUUGCAUGUUGAUUUGGACCCGGCUAUGUGCGAGUAGGAGUGCACAUAAGCUGUUGAUGACUCGGCUAUGUGCGAGUAGGAGUGCACAUAAGCCGUUGUUGACCCGGCUAUGUGUGAGUGGGAGUGCACAUAAGCCGUUGCUGACCCGGCUAUAUGCGCAUAAGCCGUUGCAUAUGAGAUGAUGAUGAUGGGAUGGUGUGCAUGUUGAUGAUGGGUAUAUGGUUGUAAAUGCAAAUAUGUAAGCGUUUGUUUUGUUGAAAUUUGGAAGUUUACAUGUGUUACAUGUUGCUAUUGUUAUUUUAGCAGGAUGGCUUGUUUUAAGGGAAAAAAGGUUUGGAAUAGUAGUUAGAUGAAAAUGGCCUUAUUUUCAAUCGGUGCAUCAUGAUUGUCAAAUUUCCUAGUUGAGAUUGCUUGUUCCCUUCUAAUAUUCACUCACUGAGUAUUGUACUCACGUUUUAUAAAAAUUCAUGUUUUCAGAUCAGGUGACUGUUGGACCCCAGAUCGAGGAGUCCCCGUAGUGCAUCUCCUGGGUAUGUGUCUGGCAUUCGAUAAUAAUCUCUUUUAUUGUAAAUGUCUCCGCUGGAAGUCAUGGGUCCUUUUGUAUUGUGAAUACAAUCUAACAAUGUGAAUAUGUGUAUGCAAUGUAAAUUACUAAAUACAUGACUGGUAUAGUGCAUGUAUAUUAUUAUCGAUAAUGCCAUUGUGUUUUGGCUAUGUUCACACCCGAGAAAAGGUGUAUGUGUAUGCAUGAUAUGAUAAAUUUGUUAAGUAAAGGUAAAUGGAUAGGCUUGCUUGGGUUUAGUGAGCUAUGCUCAUUGAGCUCAUGCACCGAUCAUGGCCCGGGAAAUUGGGUCGUGACACAACCUCUCCUACCUCCAUCAAAAAUCGACAGCACAAAGCCCACUUUAUCCUUCACAAUUCGGCAGCAAACAACCUCCAUUUUUCCUGCACAAAUCAACAGCAACACAACCUCUCUUUCUCACCCUCCUACUGCCAUUUUUCUGCUCUCUCACCAACACUUUUUCUCCCCUUUCUUUGCCUUAUACACGGCACCUCCAGCUGCCAUUUUUUGCUCUCUCACCAGCACUCUUUCUCUCAUUUUCUUGGUCCUUCUUCUGCUAACCUUAUUUGUUUUUUUUUCUCUUAAAAUGUCGGUCCUUCUUGGGAGGAGAAUGACCACAAUUUUAUUUGAUGUUAAUUUCACAUGUGGGGGAUAAGUUAGACAAGUCAAUGUACUUGUCAACUAUUUCUUUUUUUUUUUCCUUUAUGGCUUUACAUUCAGCCGACCUCUACCAUCAUUUCUUUUUCUUCUUUUUGUCUUGGCUGACUUAAUCCUUUAUUCUUUCAUUUUUUUAUUUGUUGACUUUUCUUGCACUUUCCUUCAAGUAUUGAUCACAUGGCCAUUUAUCCUCAUUUUCUCGUUCAUUUCUUCUUUUUUAUCUUCCUCAUUUAUUUAUUCUUUUAUUCUUUUACCUUUUACACCAUUUUUACUCUAUGUUUUAUUUAUUAUUUCAUGAUCCCAUCCAAACCACAUUCACCCCAUUUUAUUCUUUCAACAUUUUAUCACCAUUGCCUCAAUCAAAGUUCAUACAACUAGUUUUAAUUUUUAUUCUUUAUUCACCAUAACUUUCAUCUUUAUAAUUUGGUCCUUUCAAUAUUUAUUAAAUUUCAAUUUCUUUCUAUCUUUCUUCCUUUAUGCGUAUCCAAUAAAAAUGUCGAAGUUGUACUUCAACACGGUAUUACCAUAAUAUUUAAAUAUUUACUUACCACGCUAAUUCGAUUUAAUAAAAUUAUGCAGUACGAUUAUCGUCGUUGUUCUCCAAAAUUCUUUCUUACUUCUUCUCCCCCACUUAAAUUAGUCAUAUUCCCUUCUUCCGGACUAAUUUUCAUAAUUAACAAAAUAUUAAUAUUUUAAUAUUUUUUAUUCAUAAACUAAUAUUUUAUUCUAAAAUAUUCUUUUCACCCGUAACCGCUCUUCGACACUUAAAUUUGCAUCAAGUGACCUUUCGUUUUAUCGAUAAGGUUUUAUUCGCUGCUAAACGAGGGUACGAGGUGUUACAAUUCAAGUCAAGUAAACGAUGGGUCCUCGCUGCAGCGAGAAUGAAUUUUCGCUGCAGCGAUAUUGGGCUCUAAUUAUCAACUGACAGAGGGUUUCUUAGCUGGCUGAGGGUUUCUCACCAAACCUCUUCAUUUCAAAUUUAAUUCAUUAAUUCCUUAAUGUUGGAAGUCCAUGCUCAACUAUGGUACCAAAGAAGUGGAAAAUAGGGCAACAAUCGAACAAGAUAAUAAGCAAGACAAAAAGUUUCUCACUGCAGCGAGAAGCUUCAGCAAGUUUGUCUCUGUAGCGAGAAUCAGGCCAACAAAACCCUCAAAACUCAAGAGUUUUUUGCUGCAGUGAGAAUGAAUCUCGUUGCAGAGACAAUGAAUCUCGCUGCAGUGAGAAUGAAUCUCGUUGCAGAGACAAUGAAUCUCACUAUAGUGAGAAACGGGACGCCAACAACAAUUUUUCAUUCCCUCAAGAGAAGGCCAUUUAGCUGCAAAGACAAAAUCAACUUGAACAUGUUUUAGAAAAUUUUCUAAAGAUCAACAUGCAAGAUUCACAUGUACAAAACCAUAUACCAUACUCAUGAACUUUCUAUAACACACAUAUCUAUGUAUGUNAGGGCUUGUUUAUGCCCUCACCACCCGAGAAUUUCUCGCUGCAGCGAGAUUCAGGGCAAAUGACAAAUAAGGGGUUUUCACAUGCCAUAAAAUCCAUCCCUACCAUAUUGCACAUCAAAGUGAACACAUUGACAAUAAUCAAGUUAUCAACAUUCAAAACAAUUACAUAUUAAAAUCAUAAACUUGCUAUCACAUAUUCAUAUAUAAACAUAUAUCAACAAGUACACCACCCCACUUCAUUCAUCAUCAUAGCCGAGUCAUCAUCAUCAUCGGCUUAUGCGCACUCCCUACUCGCACAUAGCCGGGUCAAUAUCAUCACACAAUAUUAUUUAUCAAUGCACAACAUAUAUUUAUAUAUAUAUAUAUAUAUAUAUAUAUAUAUAUAUAUAUAUAUAUAUAUAUAUCAACAUGAUAUAGGAGCACAUAGGUUCGUCCUUUUACACAUUUCACAUUUUCACAACAUCAAAAAAAUUUAUCAAGGCCUUGUUCCCUGGCACACAUUUUUAAAGAAAAGUCGGAAUAAAUCAUUGAAACGUUUCAUACAAAUACAAUUAUAUCUCCCAAAAUGAUUUUGAAUUGCAAGUUCACUCACCAGUAUUUUGUUGAACCUUUAGUCGACUCUAACUUCCCUAAUGGUCCAAAUUGGGCGAUGGGGCUUCGUUGGAACCUAUUAUCACAUUCACAUCACCAUUAAGUCAAUUUACAUACUUAUAAAUUCUAAAAGCUUUCUCUUAGCUAGCUUCCAAUUGCCAUUUAAGUGGCUAUCUAUGUUCACUAUCCUAAUCACUCUAAAGUGAAUGAACAACCUCAACUACCAAAACACCCACAAGUCUAAACAUUAAUCAUUUUCAACAUUAAAAAUCAAUUCUAAUUCACUACUCACCUUGGUAGCUUUGUAUUUGAAAUUCUUUCCAAAAACUUUCAAGCUAUUAUUGAAGCUCCCUCUUUCUCUCUCUAAAAUAGCAAGCUAGUGAGAGAAAGUAUGGAAAUAAGAUUUUUCAAGGGUUUUAAAGUGAGAGAGUGAUAGAGCAUAAGGGUUCUAUGCAAAAGUGCACAAAAGCUUGAAAAUUGGAGCUAUUUUGAGAGAGGUUAUGGAGGUUUCAUAUCAAGCUUCCAUGGAGAGGGAAACAAACGUGAGAUGGAAGGAAGAAGAAGAAGAAGAAGCUGCUGGAGAAUGAAAAAGCUGCUAAAAGAAAAAGAUAUUUAUAGCUCAAGCUUAUCCAACUCCCCUCAAAUUAUGAAAAUGCCCUCAACUAGUUAGCUUGUUCUCCUUCAACCCUUUAUGCAAUCUUUUUACUAUUUUGACAUUGAAACAAAGUUCAUAAUGGUCUAGAAAUAUUCGGGUUCGCGAAACUUAAAAUUUUUGACUUGAGAUGAAAAAUGACCAUUUUGCCCAUAUGGUGGAAAUCAUCAUCAUUUUUGUUUCCUUUGUCAUUUUACCCUUAUUUUCAUCACUCAUUUAUGCCUUAGGCCUACUUAGGCCUUAAUAUUGUUUAAAAAACUUACUUUUCGAGGCUUACUAAGGAAAUGACGAAACUACCUCUAGCUCAUGUUAUUGUGUCUAUGCCUAGUUAUGAGCCUAUAGAGGUCGAGGUCUCACAUAUCUAAUCUUUUAUUGAUAUACUUGAAUAGAUUUUUAAUGGCUGUAAACGACUAUAAAUCUCCACAUCAACAUGAGCUUGAUACUUAAUUACCACAUAAAUAUUAUGAGGAACCAUAAAUCUAUUGUCUAAUUCAAUUCCAUUUUUUUCAACUACAUUUUCUGAAAUAUCUUUUCUUUUGUAAACUGGGAAUCCAUCUUCAUUUAUUGUAGUACUUCAUUGAAACUAUUUUGGGAAAUAUUUUGAGAAACAUCUUUUAACUGUACAUAAAGAUUGAGGGUUUUCAUUACCACAUGGACUAUGUAUCAUAAAAUUUAUAACUACUUCAUAUCCUAUUAGAUCAAAAUCUUUAUUUGGCAAUUCAAUUGAUAUGAUCUUAUCUAUAUCAUCAGAAGAUAAACAUUUAUGAUCUGGAUGUAACCAAAGAAGAAUAUGAAUGUGUGGCAAAUCUCGUUUCUAAAAUUCAAUCGUACACAUAACUGAAUAUUUUUAAUGAAAAAAAGUAUAUAUUAAUAUGUAAGUCUAUAACAGUAUAAAAUUAUAAAUAAAUUAUUUAUGGAAACACUAAAUCUAGUGAUGAGAUUCUAUUAUUUUACUAGUUGUAACAUGUCCAAAGUGGUUUUUCUUCAUCAAAUCUUUGAUGAAGUAACAAAGUUUAAUCUUAAACACCUUCAAAGUUAGAUCACGUCUAUUUUCUGGUUUUUGUUGAGGAAUCAAGCUUAAUGCUUCUUGAAUUUCUAUCCAUCUUGCAUUUCAAGUAAAUGUAAUAAACAAAUCAUGAUAGCCAUAAUACCUACAUAUUCCCAUUCCAUCUUGAUAGUUCUGUACUUGUGACACCCCGUACCCUUGUACAGAAAUCAAUAUGACAUUAUCAAUGAGACAAAGGGUCAAUGGAUGCUGAUUUAAGCACCAAAGAGCGAAAACGGGUGAAAAGAGUAUUUUAAAAUAAAAUAUAUUACACGCGAGGAAAUCAUAAUAAAAUAAUAAUAUUUUUAUUAAGAGUGAAUUAUUGAGUUAAAAGGUGAUUCGGAAAUGAACUGGUGCAAAGUAAGAUGUUUUAGAGCCUUAAAAGGCUAGCGGAGAAUUUUAAAAUAAAAUAAUAUUAAAAUAUUAAUAUCUUAUCUGUGGUUGGAAUUAAUCAUGAAAGAGGAGUAUAUGGCCAAUCUAAGUGGGCGAGAAGAAACAAGAAAGAAUUUCGAAGAAAAACGACGAUGGUUCUGCCCCACGUGUCUUUAUUAAAUAGAGCUAGAAUGGGUAAGUAAAUAUUUAAAUGUUAUGGUGAUACCGCGUUGAAGUGUAAAUUUUAUUAUUUUAUGACAAGCAAUAUCAAGUCAAGCAAUAUUGUUUAUGACAAGAUUAGUGUUGGUAUCAAAAGACAAUAUAGACAAGUAAUCCAUGGUAUUAAGUAUAGAUCAAAAUAUUUUAAAAUUAAAAUAAUUUUAAUAUUAAUAUUUGUAAAAUAUUAAUAUUUAUUUAUAAUUUAAAUAUUAUUAUAAUUUAAAUAUUAAAAUAUUAUUAUUUUUUAAUUUUUUAAUUUAAAAUAAUAAUAUUAUAAGUUUAGGUUUGUUAUUUUUAAAAGUAAUAAGGACAUUUUAAUCCAAAAUGUUUUGAACUCUAUUUCCAUGGGUGUGGAAUAGCUAAUACUAUGGGGAGAGGUGGUACUAGCUAUUCUAAGAUUUUGCAAAAUUUUAAGGAAUGGUCAUUCCUUUCCUCCAAAGACAAACCAAACAUAGGGAGAAAAUUUUUUGGGGAAUAAGCCAUUCUCCCAACCAAACAUGUCAUUAAAGUCUUAUCUAAAGUUUCAAAGCGGUGUCUAUGAACCAUAAGAGCUUCAUUCCAUAUUAUCAAGCUACAUGCCUGGACCAAUAUGGCACGUUAAGUUUUUUUUUA
rnacentral:lncRNA from 1 species